UAAGUUCCACUAAUUGUUAGUGGAAUAUUAGGUGUUGAGAUUUGGCAAUUGAAUUGCAUGCAUUUUUGCAUGUAAUUAGGCUAUAAAUAGAGAUGUUUUCAAAUGUUGAAGGACUUUUGCCUCUUUUAUCAUUUUCAUAAUCUCAACAAAAGAAAAAAGAAAGCUUCCAAUCUCAUUUUAUCUCCAUUACUUUCUACACAUAAAUUGGGUCCCACAACCCGGUUCUUUGUCUAGAGGAUAGCAGUUGAGUACUAGUGGUGGUCUCGGGUAGAAUUGGUAAGAAGACAUCAAACCUUUUGUAAGCUUCAAAGGUAAUACUUCUUAAAACCCUAAUUUGAUUAGUUUAUGGUUAGAUGUUAAUUGUGGCAAUUAGGGUAGAAAUUCGAUUCUUUUUCCGCUGUGCAUGACUUAGUUCUAUCACUAUAGACUAUUUAGGCUAUAUACUCGAACUUGAUCCACGUUUAUGUUUACACAUAAAGUUCAAGUUUAUUCAAAAAAUAGCCUUGGAACUUUGAUUUAUUGGAUUUAAGAUUAUAAUAUUUAAUUUCUCAAUAACAACUUUAUUGAAUAGAAUAUGAUUUACAAACUACGAGUUUUAGGACAAAAAAUUCCAACAAACUCCCACUUGGACUAAAAUUCCUAGUGGUAUGAGAGAUGUGGUGUGAGAGAAUAUAUAUGAAACUAGGGCACAUGGCCAAUAAGUCUCCCACUUGUCCUAGUUUACAAACAUCGUACACCUAAACUGUGUAGGUGACCCUCAAACACUUUAGCCAUGAGGGCUUUUGUAAAAUGAUGAGCUUCCAUUGUGGAAUCAGCUAUACAAGUUUGCUUUAUGCUUCUCCAAACUACUGCUCCUCCAUUUAGAGUAAAUACUGAUCCUGAUGUAGACUUUCUAACAUCUUUAUCAGUUUGGAAAUCUGAAUCAGUGUAUCCAGUAAGGAUCAGAUCCUUUGUACGAUACAUGAGCAUGUAGAAUGUUUUUAACGGCUGUCCAGUGAUCACGUCCAUGAUUGGAUUGAUACCUACUGACCAUCCCUACUGAGUAGCAAAUGUCAGGUCUAGUACAUAACAUUGCAUACAUUAAACUUCCAACAGCGGAAGCAUAGGGAAUAUUUCUCAUAUCCUCAACUUCUUGAGGUGUCUUAGGACAUUGUUCCUUUGACAAAUGAAUUCCAUAUCUGUACGGCAGCAGACCCUUUUUGGAAUUCUGCAUUUUAUAUCUAGACAACAUUUUGUCUAUGUAAGAUGCUUGAGACAUGGCUAGUGUUUUGUUCUUACGGUUUCGAACAAUUUGGAUUCCGAGAACGUAUUGUGCAUCUCCCAGAUCUUUCAUUUGAAAUUGCAUAGCUAGCCAUUUCUUGAUAUCAGUAAGAUAUCCUACGUCAUUUCCAAUAAGUAGAAUAUCAUCUACAUAUAAGACUAAAAAAUGCUAUAAUGGAAUUGACGACCUUUUGUAAACACAAGGCUCGUCAACAUUUUGUUCAAAGCCAUAAGAUUUUGAUCGCAAUAUCAAAUCUUAUAUUCCAGGAUCUAGAAGCUUGUUUUAAUCCAUAAAUGGAUUUUUUAAGCUUACAAACCUUUUGUUCUUGAUCUUGUUUAUAAACCCCUCUGGUUGAGACAUAUAGAUACUCUCUUCAAGAUUACCGUUCAAAAAAGCUGUCUUGACAUCCAUCUGCCAAAUUUCAUAAUCAUAAAAAGUGGCGAUGGAUAAGAGUAUUCUAAUUGACUUUAACAUGGCAACAGGAGAGAAAGUUUCCUCAUAGUCUACUCCCUCUCUCUGGUAUAACCCUUUGCCACAAGUCGAGCCUUGAAAGUCUGUACUUUACCGGCAUGGUCUCGUUUUCUCUUGUAGAUCCAUUUACAACCAAUAGGUUUUACGUCAUUUGGUUGAUCUACUAGAGUCCAGACAGAAUUAAAGUACAUAGACUCCAUUUCGAGGUCCAUGGCUUUGAUCCAUUGGUCACGAUCUACAUCUUUCAUUGCCUGUUUAUAGGUUAAUGGAUCCUCUAUGCCAUCGUCAGGUAUGACGACUUGAGUUUCAAUUAAACCCAAAUAGCGAUCAGGCUGAUGAACAACCCUCCCACUACGUCGAGGCUCUCUCAACUGUUGAGAAGGAUGUGAUUGUCCAGAUUUCCUAGUCUUAUCAACUACCUUAGUGGAUGAACUAGGUUUAUCUAUAGCACUUUUGGAAAUUUCUUUUAAUACUAGUUUACUACGAGGUUGAUGAUCCCUGAUGUGGUCUUCCUCUAAGAAUGUGGCAUUUGUUGACACAAAUAUUUUAUUUUCUUGAGGAUCAUAAAACAAACCACCUCUUGAUUCUUUUGGAUAACCUAUAAAAAAGCAUAAUUUUGAACGAUGUUCCAAUUUCUUUGGAUUUUGUACCAACACGUGUGCUGGACAACCCCAAAUUCUAAAAUGACGUAAACUGCCUUUACGCCCUUUCCAUAGCUCAUAAGGUGUUUCUGAAACACUUUUAGAGGGAACAUUAUUCAAAAUAUAAGCAGCUGUUUCUAAAGCAUAUCCCAAAAAGAAUCUGACAUCUGAGAAAAACUAUCAUAGAGCGAACCAUGUCUAACAAGGUCCAGUUUCUUCUUUCUGAUACACCGUUCUGUUGAGGUGUACUAGGUGCAGAGAGUUGUGACUGGAUUCCAUUUUCUAUUAAAUAGUCUCGGAAUCGUAAGUCCAUAUACUCUCCACCUCGAUCUGAUCGAAGUAUUUUUAUUGUUUUACCUAAUUCGUUUUCUACUUCAGCCUUAUAUUCUUUGAACUUUUCAAGACUAUUAGACUUAUGAUGUAUUAGGUAAAUAUGACCAUACCUUGAAUAAUCAUCAAUGAAGCUAAUGAAAUAUUCAUAUCCACCUCGAGCUUUGACAUUCAUUGGUCCACAAAGGUCCGAAUGUACGAGCUCUAAGGGUCCUUUGGCUCUUAGACCUUUUCCAGUAAAAGAUCUCUUGGUCAUUUUUCCUUCAAGACAAGAUUCACAAGGAGGUAAAGAGUUAUCUUCUAACGGACUUAGAAGCCCACUUUUAACCAAUCUCCCAAUCCUAUUGAGAUUUAUGUGACCAAGUCUUAAGUGCCAUAAAUAGGCAUUAGAAGAAACUUUUUGUCUUUUAUUCUGAGUUUCAGCUGUUCUGAAUAUUUCAGUAUUUAAGACAAAAUUUGCUCUAGUUGGUCUUAACUUAUAUAAGUUGUCUUCAAGUAUAGCAGAACAAACUAGAAUACCUUUAUAGAAAACGAACGCUUCAUUAAUUUCAAAAGAUAUUCUAUACAUUUGUUCCAAAAUACAAGAGAUAGAUAUUAAAUUUCUUUUCAUUUGAGGUACAUAUAAGACAUUCUUAAGUAUGACAUAUCUAUCUCUAAAAAACAACUUUAAAUCUCCCACUGCUGAAGCUGAGACCAUCUCUCCUGUUCCAACCUUGAGAGUGAUCUCGCCUUCUGAAAGCUUUUUCAAGAACUAUUUUCCUGAAAUGAGAAGCAAAUAUGGUUAGUGGCUCCUGAAUCUAGUAUCCAGGUACAAUUUUCAUAUUCCACUAAACAUGUUUCUACAACUAGUAAAUCAUAUUUACCUUGUGUUUCCUUCUCUGCCUUUUUUUCUGCAAGGUAUUUUGGGCAGUUUCUUAACCAGUGCCCGUUUUGGCCACAAUGGUAACACUUACCUUUUUCUGCAGCUUUCUUACCCUUGUUCUGUUUGGGAGUCUUUCCCUUUCCCUUCUUUUUUAUUUGAGCAUUAGGUUUUGAGGGUCCAGCUUUGGUUUUAGAGGACGAUCCUCUUAUAAAUUUUCUUUUUGUGGUAGCAACAUUUGCUUCCACUUGUUUUCCUUUACCCAUAGUAAGGUUUUGGAAUCGCUGGAGUUCAUUCAGAAGGGUUGUCAAGUUAAAUUCUAUCUUGUUCAAAGACGCAUUCGUUUGGAAUGGAAUGAAGCUCUUCGGAAGAGACUCUAAGAUAAAACUAACUUGAUUAACCUCUUCGAUGGGACCACCAUUCACUUCAGCGAUGUUGAAGUGCAUCAUCAUGUCCAGAACAUGUUCUCUAACAGAGGUCCCUUCCUUCAUACGCUUAGUGUAAAUGUAUUUGACUGCCUCGUGUCUUAAGGACAUUCUGGUUGCCCAAACAUUCCCCUUAAUGAAUCCAUAAUCUCUUUAGCCGUGGCUAAGGAUUCAUGUUUCUUUGCCAAUACAUCAGACAUGCUGGCAAGAAUGUAAACACGGGCUUUUUCAUUAGCUUUUAUCCAUCGAUCAUAUGCAUCCCGACUAGUUCGGUUAGCAUCAGAGGCAGGGUUUUGAGGACAUUCCUCAGUUAAGACAAAUCUUAAAUCACCAACCACUAGUAUUGUGUUAAGAUUUGAUUUCCAAGCCGCAUAAUUAUCGCCAUUAAGUUUUUCGGAAGCUAAAAGUUGAACUAUUGAGCUAUUCAUGCUGAAAAACAAACAUAUUCUUUUUAAGAAAAAACUAUAAUCAUAAAAAAUAUCCAAUCUAAUUUAGCAAUUACUAAUAAUGUACCCUUUCAUUAUUUGUAUUUUGCAACAAUAUUUCAAAGGUUUAGAACAACCUUCUCCGAAGGGUAGUUGAUUAUUCCUCCUUUGAACCAAGACAAUCUUGACUAGAUGCUAUCUCAAGAAUAACUCUUUAUUCUUUAUAGCACUUAGUUAUCGCUACUUUAGUCAAGAAUAUACUAACAACUUAGUAAUUCUUGUAAGUGUUACCCACCAUUUUCAGAUUUUAUAGAUUAGAAUCAUUUAUGAAAACUAAUCUAAGAAAUCCUAUCCAGUUUUGGAGUUCGCGGUGUUCCGAAUCCUAUAAUACAACCCUCCGAAGGGAACGUCGCUCCAGGGCAGACAAGCAGGCAUAUUAUAGAAAUCUCACGGUGCGACCUAAUGGAAGAGACCGUGGGAUGUGCUGCCACAAAUCCCUCACCCACUUACUAUGAACUACUUCCCCUAUUCACCUUGAUUUUGAUCCAUGCAAACACUCUCCGAAGGGAGGCCGCUCCUAUGCACGGCACAAAGCCCUGCAUGGACCUCACGGUGUGAACUCUUAGGGACACUAGAGCUAAAAUACAUUAUUUUUCUCUAGUUGAAGUGUUCUAAAAGAAAAAAAUAGGGUAAUCCAAACUUCAAGAUUUAUAUUUAGGCUAACUUAAACAAAUCUUAAGUCUAGAUAAAACAUCCAAGUAUAACCAUUAUACAGGAUUUUAACCUAUGAUGUCUAGGUGAAAAACCAUUUUUAUUACCUCACACCUCUCACGAAUGCUCAUAAAACUAGGUUAACUAGGCUCAAGAACUGAUUACGAUCUCCAGGUAGGAGGUGUUCCGUAAACCGUCAACUUAAGAACCUCCAACCUUAGUCAUCUUAUCUGACUUGUUGACAAGAUUGAACCAGGUGAGCCUUUUGUAACCAGUUUUACAAGAUAUCGACCUAUUUCUAUGAAAAAUGGAAGAUAUGUUUAACCUAAGUGAGCAUGCAUUUAAUCUUUGUUAUUGAUUUUAAAAGUCUAAUUUAUUUUAUAACACUUAUAAAAACUUUUAAACUUAAUCAAUCAUUUUAUCAAUAUAUAAUAAAAACAAUCAAUUAAUAUGGAUUUUAAUUUAUUUAACUUUAAUUAAAUCAUAUUUAAUUAAAUUAAAUCAAACAAUAAUUAAUUAAUUUGAUUAAAUCAUAUUUAAUCAAGAAUAACUUAAUUAAUUAAAUAAUUAAUUAAUCAUAUUAAUUAAUUUCCAUAUUAAUCAAUUAACAUGCAUACAAUACAAUAUAACCUUUAUAUCAUACAUUUUAAUGCAUGAACAUGUUAACCUAUGGUGGGAUUUUAAAUCUAUAUGACAUUCAAAAUGCACAUACAAAUUUAAAGUAAUUUAAUCAUACAUCACAUGCAUAAAUAAAAAAAACACCCUAAAAUGGACUGAUUUUUGGCUCCUAAAUUAAGCUAAGUGCUAAAUUAUUACAUAAUUAAUUUGGUGUAGUACAGAACCACUCCCAAAAAUUUCGAACCGGCUAAAAAACCAACCGAAACCGCUUGAACCGGCCCAAAAACCAAAUUUAUUGGCUUGAACCGGCCCAGGCGCACACGGGUCGUGCGAAGGCAGGCGCGCGGGCGAAGGCGGCGCGCGCGGCGCAUGCGGGCGCGCGACACAUGCGGGCGCCGGGCGCAUGCAGGCGCGCGCGGCGCAGGAGGCGCGCGGGCGCAGGAGGGCGCGCGGGCGCAGGAGCGCGCGCGGGCGCAGCGGGCGCCGGCGCGCGGCGGGCGCAGGAGGGCGCGCGGGCAUGCGGGCGCGUGCGGGUCGCGAAGCGGGUCAAAACCGGGUUUUCGGGUCUGUGACCUUCUUUUCUUCAUUUUUUUCAAUUCUCUCACCCGGUUGAACCAAUUACAGCCUAGCUUCAACUCUAAUGACUUUUUUUAUUUUUUUAAAAAUUACAAACACUUUGCAACAAUAAAAAUAAGCCAUUAACAAGGCUAAUUACAAUAAUUAGAACAAAAACACUUAAUCUAGAGCCAAAAUCAUAAUAUAUCCAUUUUAGUUCAAACCAAAAUUUAUCUAAUAAAUAUGAACCCACCACAUGCAAUUGGGUAAAAAUGAAGCAUGCUCUGAUACCACAUGAUAGAACUAAGUCAUGCACAGCGGAAAAAGAAUCGAAUUUCUACCCUAAUUGCCACAAUUAACAUGUAACCAUAAACUAAUCAAAUUAGGGUUUUAAGAAGUAUUACCUUUGAAGCUUUCAAAAGGUUUGAUGUCUUCUUACCAAUUCUACCCGAGACCACCACUAGUACUCAACUGCUAUCCUCUAGACAAAGAACCGGGUUGUGGGACCCAAUUUUGGUGUAGAAAGUAAUGGAGAUAAAAUGAGAUUGGAAGCUUUUUUUUUCUUUUGUUGAGAUUAUGAAAAUGAUAAAAGAGGCAAAAGUCCUUCAACAUUUGAAAACAUCUCUAUUUAUAGCCUAAUUACAUGCAAAAAUGCAUGCAAUUCAAUUGCCAAAUCUCAACACCUAAUAUUCCACUAACAAUUAGUGGAACUUAGUGGGCUAGGUGUCUAUAUCUCAUAUAGCCACAUAUCCCACUAAGAGUUAGUGGGAUUAUCCAACAAAAUGUUGGAUUUUCCCACUAACUUAGUCCAAGGGUAAAAUGGUCAUUAGAUUUUUCUAGUCAAAAGUCAAACUUUGACUUUUCUAAGUCAAAAGUCAAUAUUUUGACUUUUUACCAUUUUGUCCGUCUUGACUAAUUCCAACCUCCCGAGCAUGAAUCCGCAUUCAUUUUUCCAAAAUUCAAAUCACAUUUGAAUAUAAGGCCGGUCAAAGUUUGACUUUUCAAAGUCAAAAGUCAACAUUUUGACUUUUUACUAUUUUUGACCAAUUCCGAGCUUCUUAGUAUGAAUCCGCAUUCAUACUUAUAGUAUGUAAAACAUAAAGCUCUAUUUCUAAUUAGAAGACCGACGAUUAUAUCACUGUAUAUGUCGGUUUUCCUUUCUUCUCCCUAUUCGAACAAUUCGACUUAUUUCAUCACACUGUUCUAAGUUUAAUCCAUAUGAGCUAGCAGAGGAACCUAAUGGACCUAUAGAUCAUGGGCUCCAACGAUUCAAGAUUAACUAGCUAAACUCUUUUAAACCGAGUUAAUCAACAUUCGUUAACUAACGGGUCAUUCCACUAAAGUCCCGUAGUUGCACUCCCCUCACUAUAGAUAUAUUUGUGUCCAUUUGAUAAAACCAUAAUCAGUAAGUUAAUCCUUCACAGGUUGCUCGUAACCUUGGCUGGGUCAAAAUACCGUUUUACCCCCAAGAUUACAUCUUGCUCCUUAAGUCCCACUAAUCCACUAUUGAACAAUUGGUUUAAGGUUCAACCUAUAAACUUAAUCCCUCUCGGGCCAAUGAGAGGGUGGGGCCCCUUGUUCAAGACUUGGAUUCAGUGCUUAAGAGAGCAACCUAUCUACUAACCCUAAAGCGGGUAGGAGUGAAUUCCAUCUUGUACCCUAUGUUCCCAGCUAUCCACCCGAUCUUACCCCUGAAAGGAGGCUUAUUGGGCCAACGCUGAUGAGUUGCCCUCACCUAUGCAGAUCUAAGGAUAAUCUCGUAUGAACAGGAGUUCAUAGUUAACUCAGGAUUAAGACUAAGUUACCUAGGUCAUCAAUAAUUGAGAUAGUCAGUUUUAAACAGUAAACGGUGUUAUAACGUAAAAAUGACUAAUUCAUGGUUCAGUCUUAUGUAAACAUUUUACAUAGGAUGCCCCCACUUUCAUGUCUCUACAUGAACGAUUAGGAUCACAUCGUUUGUACUACAAAGUGGGCCGCAUCCAUAGUCUCUAAAUAAGGCGCCCAACCUUUAUUUCAUAUACUAUAGACUAUUUAGGCUAUAUACUCGAACUUGAUCCACGUUUAUGUUUACACAUAAAGUUCAAGUUUAUUCAAAAAAUAGCCUUGGAACUUUGAUUUAUUGGAUUUAAGAUUAUAAUAUUUAAUUUCUCAAUAACAACUUUAUUGAGUAGAAUAUGAUUUACAAACUACGAGUUUUAGGACAAAAAAUUCCAACACUUAAGACGCGAGACAGUCAAAUACAUUUACACUAAGCGUAUGAAGGAAGGGACCUCUGUUAGAGAACAUGUUCUGGACAUGAUGAUGCACUUCAACAUCGCUGAAGUAAAUGGUGGUCCCAUCGAAGAGGUUAAUCAAGUUAGCUUUAUCUUAGAGUCUCUUCCGAAGAGCUUCAUUCCAUUCCAAACGAAUUCGUCUUUAAACAAGAUAGAAUUUAACCUGACAACCUUCUGAAUGAACUCCAGCGAUUCCAAAACCUUACUGUGGGUAAAGGAAAACAAGUGGAAGCAAAUGUUGCUACCACAAAAAGAAAAUUUACAAGGGAAAGACUCCCAAACAGAACAAGGGUAAGAAAGGUGCAGAAAAAGAUAAGUGUUACCAUUGUGGCCAAAACGGGCACUGGUUAAGAAACUGCCCAAAAUACCUUGCAGAAAAAAAGGCAGAGAAGGAAACACAAGGAAAUAUGAUUUACUAGUUGUAGAAACAUGUUUAGUGGAAUAUGAAAAUUGUACCUGGAUACUAGAUUCAUGAGCCACUAAUCAUAUUUGCUUCUCAUUUCAGGAAAAUAGUUCUUGGAAAAAGCUUUCAGAAGGCGAGAUCACUCUCAAGGUUGGAACAGGAGAGAUGGUCUCAGCUAGAGCAGUGGGAGAUUUAAAGUUGUUUUUUAAAGAUAGAUAUGUCAUACUUAAGAAUGUCUUAUAUGUACCUCAAAUGAGAAGAAAUUUAAUAUCUAUCUCUUGUAUUUGGAGCAAAUGUAUAGAAUAUCUUUUGAAAUUAAUGAAGCAUUCGUUUUCUAUAAAGGUAUUCUAGUUUGUACUGCCAUACUUGAAGACAACUUAUAUAAGUUAAGACCAACCAGAGCAAAUUUUGUCUUAAAUACUGAAAUAUUCAAAACAGCUGAAACUCAUAAUAAAAGACAAAAAGUUUCUUCUAAUGCCUAUUUAUGGUACUUAAGACUUGGUCACAUAAAUCUCAAUAGGAUUGGAAGAUUGGUUAAAAGUGGGCUUCUAAGUCGGUUAGAAGAUAACUCUUUACCUCCUUGUGAAUCUUGUCUUGGAGGAAAAAUGACCAAGAGUCUUUUACUGGAAAAGGUCUAAGAGCCAAAGGACCCUUAGAGCUCGUACAUUCGGACCUUUGUGGACCAGUGAAUAUCAAAGCUCGAGGUGGAUAUGAAUAUUUCAUCAGCUUCAUUGAUGAUUAUUCAAGGUAUGGUCAUAUUUACCUAAUACAUCACAAGUCUAAUAGUCUUGAAAAGUUCGAAGAAUAUAAGGCCGUAGUAGAAAAUGAAUUAGGUAAAACAAUAAAAAUACUUCGAUCAAAUCAAGGUGGAGAGUAUAUGGACUUACGAUUCCAAGACUAUUUGAUAGAAAAUGGAAUCCAGUCACAACUCUCUACACCUAGUGCACCGCAACAGAACGAUGUAUCAGAAAGAAGAAACUGAACCUUGUUAGACAUGGUUCGCUCUAUGAUGAGUUUUGCUCAGAUGCCAGAUUCUUUUUGGGGUUAUGCUUUAGAAACAGCUGUUUAUAUUUUGAAUAAUGUUCCCUCUAAAAGUGUUUCAGAAACACCUUAUGAGCUAUGGAAAGGGCGUAAAGGAAGUUUACGUCAUUUUAGAAUUUAGGGUUGUCCAGCACACGUGUUGGUACAAAAUCCUAAGAAAUUGGAACAUCGUUCAAAAUUAUGCUUUUCAUAGGUUAUCCAAAAGAAUCAAGAGGUAGUUUGUUUUAUGAUCCUCAAGAAAAUAAAAUAUUUGUGUCAACAAAUGCCACAUUCUUAGAGGAAGACCACAUCAGGGAUCAUCAACCUCGUAGUAAACUAGUAUUAAAUGAAAUUUCCAAAAGUGCUAUAGAUAAACCUAGUUCAUCCACUAAAGUAGUUGAUAAGACUAGGAAAUCUGGUCAAUCACGUCCUUCUCAACAGAGAGAGCCUCGAUGUAGUGGGAGGGUUGUUCAUCAACCUGAUCGCUAUUUGGGUUUAAUUAAAACUCAAGUCGUCAUACCGAUGAUGGCAUAGAGGAUCCAUUAACCUAUAAACAGGCAAUGAAAGAUGUAGAUCGUGACCAAUGGAUCAAAGCCAUGAACCUCGAAAUGGAGUCCAUGUACUUUAGUUUUGUCUGGACUCUAGUAGAUCAACCAAAUAACGUAAAACCUAUUGGUUGUAAAUCGAUCUACAAGAAAAAACGAGACCAAGCCGGUAAAGUACAGACUUUUAAGGCUCGACUUGUGGCAAAGGGUUAUACCCAGAGAGAGGGAGUAGACUAUGAGGAAACUUUCUCUCCCGUUGCCAUGUUAAAGUCAAUUAGAAUACUCUUAUCCAUCGCCACUUUUUAUGAUUAUGAAAUUUGGCAGAUGGAUGUCAAGACAACUUUUUUGAACGGUAAUCUUGAAGAGAGUAUCUAGAUGUCUAAACCAGAGGGGUUUAUAGAACAAGAUCAAUAACAAAAGGUUUGUAAGCUUAACAAAUCCAUUUAUGGAUUAAAACAAGCAUCUAGAUCCUGGAAUAUAAGAUUUGAUACUGCGAUCAAAUCUUAUGGCUUUGAACAAAAUGUUGACGAGCCUUGUGUUUACAAAAAGGUCGUCAAUUCCAUUAUAGCAUUUUUAGUCUUAUAUGUAGAUGAUAUUCUACUUAUUGGAAAUGACGUAGGAUAUCUUACUGAUAUCAAGAACUGGCUAGCUAUGCAAUUUCAAAUGAAAGAUCUGGGAGAUGCACAAUACGUUCUCGGAAUCCAAAUUGUUCGAAACCGUAAGAACAAAACACUAGCCAUAUCUCAAGCAUCUUACAUAGACAAAAUGUUGUCUAGAUAUAAAAUGCAGAAUUCCAAAAGGGUCUGCUGCCGUACAGAUAUGAAAUUCAUUUGACAAAGGAACAAUGUCCUAAGACACCUCAAGAAGUUGAGGAUAUGAGAAAUAUUCCCUAUGCUUCCGCUGUUGGAAGUUUAAUGUAUGCAAUGUUAUGUACUAGACCUGACAUUUGCUACUCAGUAGGGAUGAUCAGUAGGUAUCAAUCCAAUCCUGGACGUGAUCACUGGACAGCCGUUAAAAACAUUCUAAAAUAUCUUCGAAGAACAAAAGACUACAUGCUCGUGUAUGGUACAAAGGAUCUGAUCCUUACUGGAUACACUGAUUCAGAUUUCCAAACUGAUAAAGAUGCUAGAAAGUCUACAUCAGGAUCAGUAUUUACUCUAAAUGGAUGAGCAGUAGUUUGGAGAAGCAUAAAGCAAACUUGUAUAGCUGAUUCCACAAUGGAAGCUGAAUACGUAGCGGCUUGUGAAGCAGCAAAAGAAGCAGUAUGGCUAAGAAAAUUCUUGACACAUUUGGAAGUCGUUCCAAAUAUGCAUCUACCAAUCACUUUAUACUGUGACAACAGUGGUGCAGUUGCAAAUUCAAGAGAACCUAGAAGCCAUAAAAGAGGAAAGCAUAUUGAAAGCAAGUAGCAUCUUAUCAGGGAAAUUGUACAUCGUGGUGACGUUGUAGUAACCCAAAUUUCUUCUCAGCAAAACAUUGCUGAUCCUUUUACAAAAGCCCUCACGGCUAAAGUGUUUGAGGGUCACCUACACAAUUUAGGUCUACGAUUUUUGUAAACUAGGACAAGUGGGAGAUUUAUUGGCCAUGUGCCCUAGUUUCAUAUAUAUUCUCUCACACCACAUCUCUCAUACCACUAGGAAUUUUAGUCCAAGUGGGAGUUUGUUGGAAUUUUUUAUCCUAAAACUCGUAGUUUGUAAUCAUAUUCUCUUCAAUAAAGUUGUUAUUGAGAAAUUAAAUAUUAUAAUCUUAAAUCCAAUAAAUCAAGUUCCAAGGCUAUUUUUGAAUAAACUUGAACUUUAUGUGUAAACAUAAACGUGGAUCAAGUUCGAGUAUAUAGCCUAAAUAGUCUAUAGUAUAUGAAAUAAAGGUUGGGCGCCUUAUUUAGAGAAACUAUGGAUGCGGCCCACUUUGUAGUACAAACGAGGUGAUCCUAAUCGUUCAUGUAGAGACAUGAAAGUGGGGGCAUCCUAUGUAAAGUGUUUACAUAAGAUUGAACCAUGAAUUAGUCUUUUUUACGUUAUAACACCGUUUACUGUUUAAAAUUGACUAUCUCAAUUAUUGAUGACCUAGGUAACUUAGCCUUAAUCCUGAGUUAACUAUGAACUCCUGUUCACACGAGAUUAUCCUUAGAUCUGCAUAGGUGAGGGCAGCUCAUCAGCGUUGGCCCAAUAAGCCUCCCAUUUCAAGGGUAAGAUUGAGUGGAUAGCUGGGAACAUAGGGUACAAGAUGAAAUUCACUCCUACCCGCUUUAGGGUUAGUAGAUAGGUUGUUCUCUUAAGCACUGAAUCCAAGUCUUGAACAAGGGGCCCCACCCUCUCAUUGGCCCAAGAGGAAUUAAGUUUAUAGGUUGAACCUUAAACCAAUUGUUCAAUAGUGGAUUAGUGGGACUUAUGGAGCAAGAUGUAAUCUUGGGGUAAAACGGUAUUUUAACCCAGCCAAGGUUACGAGCAACCUGUGAAGGAUUAACUUACCGAUUAUGGUUUUAUCAAAUGGACACAAAUAUAUCUAUAGUGAGGGGAGUGCAACUACGGGACUUUAGUGGAAUGACCCGUUAGUUAACGAAUGUUGAUUAACUCGGUUUAAAAGAGUUUAGCUAGUUAAUCUUGAAUCGUUGGAGCCCAUGAUCUAUAGGUCCAUUAGGUUUGAUAUCUAUAGAUCAUGGGCUCCAACCUUUUCAAACUUGUUUGUUUUACCUUCUACCUUGAUUUCCUUCAAUGUCUUACCUCCACCUUCGAUGAUACUCUCAAUCGUUGGUCCUUUGCUCGACGAUCCUUCCAUUCUUCCGGAGAUUGUCGAAUUAUCCUUCUGUUAUUCCUUCGAUGCAUUUAGCAACCGUUCUUGUUUUUCCAACCAGAUGACCAGUCUUUCGAUGCUUUUUGGCAAUCAUAACAAAUUUUCUUCAAUUGCCAGCAACUUGUGUAACUCCACUUGUAUCCCCGAGAUUUCCUUAUCAGAGGUCUCCAACUUCUCUUCAAUCCGUUUUUGUGCUGCUCUAUUGUUCUCCCAAGUAAAAACACUCUGAUACCAAUUUGUUAAGAUACUGUAAAUAUACGGCAAGUGUAUCUUACUUUAUUGAAUUACCUCAAUGAAUUAUAGUAUAGAGAAUAAAAAAUCACUCACAUCUACUUCCUAAAGGCACACUCCAGUGAGGAUCACAACAAAGAACAAGAAAAACUAAGAACAAACCGCAACCAUGAAAAUGACCAAAACAAACAAUAAAAAGAACUUGACUUGGACCCUCUACUUCUCCCGAGCACGAAAGACGGCAGCCUCUACUUCUUUGGAAUAUUUUGUCCCCUUUCUCCCUCCUCUUUCCUCCCUUUUAUUUUGCUUUACUAACAAACUAAUGGGAAAGAUCUCCUCCGAUAUUCUCUCCUCCUACAAUCUCUCCUAUAUUCUUGUGUGGGUCAAUAUUACCCUUUUUAAUUCUUCUACUGUAUUUAAAUAAUAUUGGAGACAUAUACUUCCUAACAAGAACAAGAUCUAAAUUUAUUAUAAUGUAACUAUAAGAAAAUACAAGAUAAAACCAAGUAUAAAGCACUUGGAACCCUCCCUCUUGAGUACUCUCACCCAAGCCUUAUAUCACUCCCCAAAAUUAUCCCCACUUACCCUCCCUCCAUUUAUAAUAACAUGUAACCACCCUAGUUACCACACUUACAUAAUAACUACUAGUAACCACACUUACACAAUAACUACUAGUAACUUCCUAAAUAUCUAAUUACCCUUAUACUCCAACCCUAUACUAAUCUAGGUAUCUAACAAAUUCCAUAACAUAAUGUAUUAGGGGAAGAAGGAAAUCGAGGAUAAAAACACUAGCUAGCGAACAAAUAUCUUUCAUUAGUGAGCUUGAGCCAUUUUACACAUAAAAUGGGAAAAGUAAGCCUGAAACCCAAAUUAGCUUAAUGGUUGUCUUAACAACCACUACCCACCAUCACGAUAGAAACAACUGAAAAGGAAGAGCAUGAUACAAUCCAACUCAAACAUAAGAAUUGAUUUUGAUGUUUAACUAAAAGUAAACAGGCAGUAGAAUAAGAAACUAUGCCCUUUUAGAUCUAGAAGGUUCACAACAAUUUCCAGCCUAAGCACAACUACGAGGCAAUGGAAGAAUAACGGCAAAGGCCUUGUGUGCAUGGAAUCGCUAACUUUGGUGCAAAUGAGAUGAUUAUCGGUAUUCAAAGGCCAAAAGGACACAUAGAAGAGUGUUUGUCUAAGGUUGCAAGACUAACCCUGAAAAAAGAGCAAUACAAAAAUUUAGAGUUUUCCGCACUUUUCCUGUAAUGACAUGAGUGCUUGUACUCCCAUCAGUAGUGAGAGAAUCACCAAGCUCCUCAAUCAUUGAAUCAGAAAACAACUGCACAUUAGAGCAGUCACAAUUUGGAAUAAAUAGAACUUUUUAUGUUUAGAAUCUUAGAAUAUUUAUGAAAAGUUUAUGGGAAUAUUUUUCUUAAUUCCUAAAUAUUUUCCUUUUUUAUUCCUCUGUAUAUUCUAUUUAUUCUCCCUUGUACCUAUUGUAUUUUUAAUUAGAAAAUAAGAAGAAGAAAAAUAUAGUGGUUUUUCUCCUGGUACACAGGUUUCCACGUAAAGUUGUGUGUUUGUUUGUCUCCCUUUCAAUAUGGUAUCCGAGCAGGUGGUUCAAGAAGGUCUUGUGUUCAAGCCUCGCAUUGUCGUUUCCUCCCCAAUUAAAAUCCAUUUCCAGUUGUUGGGCCUUUCAAAUAUUUCAAGCCCACAAGUGAGGAGAGUGUUGGUGAUAUAUAAUUGAAUUUUCUUUCUUUUUUUAAAAAAGAUACGAGUCUCACUAUUAUUAAUAUAAAGAAAGAGACAAAGCUCAAUUACAUGAUGAUUAUACAAAGAGCAAAAGGGGAGAGGGAAGAUCAACAGGCGCAUCCGGGCAUCUCAAACUAGGUUGACACCCCCUUAGUGCCCUCAAAACAUCCAAAAAGCGACAACACAAGAUCAAAACAAAAAGCCACAAAAACAAAGACAAACAAAAUGAUAAAAAGAAUCUUUGCCAAAGCAAAAUCAUAAUCAAAGGUCGCAUGCUGAGAACAAAGAAGAAUAAGCCUUGAUUGGUUGAGGAAAAACUGUUUGAAGCAGAGGGCUGAUCCGAAAGUCCUGAUCAUCAAAGACUUCAAAGUGGAGAUGCUGUAAAGACUGGCCAAUAUAACACAAUAUCCUACGUCGAAGAUCUUCUUUUGCAUUACAUUUUCUAAAAUUUCCAAUCCACUCUGUUAAAGGCCUUUUCAAGGUCUAAUUUAAUGAUCCAUCUUUUCUUUUUUCGGAUACUAUGGCCUCCAUAGUUUCUUUUGCUAUUAAAAUAGGAUCCAAGAUUUGGCACUCUUCCAGAAAGCCACAUUGUAAUGAGAAAGUAUGUUAGGAUUCUAACAAUAAAACACAAAAUAUCCUAACCAAAUGGCUAAACAGAGGCAACACUCUAUAAUUCUUUAUUUAUGUAAAAGCCAAAACACAUUCAACAGUAGUAGAUAUGAAAAAUAAAGGAAGAACAACAUAGAAAACUUACCCAGCUCCUUUAUACGAGGCUGGAUACCCUCAGGCUACAGCAGCCUUUACUCUCCUUGAAAUAACCAAAAAAGACCUAGCCUCCCCUACCCCAACAUUACAUACUUAUACCUCUCUCUCUCAUACCUCCUGGCGGGCCCAACUUGCACGAUCCUCUCCAAUUAUUCUCUCACCAUUGGUUGCUAAGGAAUUUCCCUUUCUACCCUUCCAUUUAUAGGUAUAGAAUAGGAGGUCUUACAAAGUAAUACCUGGCCUGACUUUCUUUAAUCUUUCUGCGAGAACCUUUGCAAAUUACUUAUAAAUUAAUGUUGAAACAACUUAUAAGCCACACUGUAAUGACCUUCCUUCUAUUGACCAAACUUCAAUAAUCGAUAACUUGUAUUUAUCCACAUAAUCAGCGAAACUCUUAAUCUGCCACUAGCUUCAAACAAAGACCCAUAGUGCCAUUAUAAUACAACUGGCAAUCUCUUCUCUUUUGGUCUCCGGAAUGGCCUAGAAAGGAACGACUGGACUUAGAACGGGGUCGGAGACGUCGAAAGCUCACGCCUAGCUACUGGGUGGUCCGAUUCUAAGUGAUCUCGAAGUUUCUUGCCCACGAAAGCCAAACGACGAUGCACCAGACUCGGUUUCUCGGUUCCGUCCCAAAACACCCAAGAAAGGCACAAUGGCCUAGAAAGGAACGACCAGACUUAGAACAGGGUCGGAUGCCUCGAAAGUUCACAUCUAGCUACUGGGUGGUCCGAUUCUGAGUGAUCUCAAAGUUUCUUGCCCACGAAAGCCGAACGACGAUGCCCAGACUCGGUUUCUCAGUUCCGUCCAAAAACGCCGAAGAAAGGCACAAUGGCCUCGAAAGGAACGACCAGACUUAGAACGGAGUCGGAGGCCUCGAAAGAUCAUAUCUAGCUACUGAGUGGUCUGAUUCUAAGUGAUCUAGAAGUUUCGUGUCCACGAAAGCCGAACAGUGAUGCCCCAAACUCGGUUUCUCGGUUUCGUCCCAAAAUGCCGAACAAAGGCACAAUGGCCUAGAAAGGAACGACCGGACUUAAAACGGGGUCGGAGAGCUUGAAAGUUCACAUCUAGCUACUGGAUGGUCCGAUUCUGAGUGAUCUCAAAGUUUCUUGCCCAUGAAAGCCGAACGGUGAUGCCCCAAACUCGGUUUCUCGGUUCCAUCCCAAAACGCCGAAGAAAGGCACAAUGGCCUAGAAAGGAACGAUCGGACUUAGAACCGGGUCAGAGGCCUCGAAAGUUCACAUCUAGCUACUGGGUGGUCCGAUUCUGAGUGGUCUCGAAGUUUCUUGCCCACGAAAGCCGAACAGUGAUGCCCCAAACUCGGUUUCUCGGUUCCGUCCCAAAACGUUGAACAAAGGCACAUUGGCUUUGAAAGGAACGACCAGAUUUAAAACGGGGUCGGAGGCCUCGAAAGUUCACAUCUAGCUACUGGGUGGUCCGAUUCUGAGUGAUCUCGAACUUUCUUGCCCACGAAAACCGACCGUGAUGCCCCAGACUUGGUUUCUCGGUUCCGUGCCAAAACGCCAAAGAAAGGCAUAAUGGCCUAGAAAGGAACGACCGGACUUAGAACGAGGUCGGAGGGCUCGAAAGUUAACAUCCAGCUACUGGGUAGUCCGAUUCUGGGUGAUCUUAAAGUUUCUUGCCCACGAAAGCAGAAAGGUGAUGCCCCAGACUCGGUUCCUCGGUUCCGUCCCAAAACGUCGAACAAAUUCACAAUGGCCUAGAAAGGAACGACCGGACUUAGAACGGGGUCGGAAGCCUCGAAAGUUCACAUUUAGCUACUGGGUGGUCCGAUUCUGAGUGAUCUCGAUGUUUCUUGCCCACGAAAGCCGAACAAUGAUGCCCCAGACUCGGUUUCUCGGUUCCGUCCCAAAGCGCCGAAAGAAUGGCACAAUGGCCUAGAAAGGAACGACCGGACUUAGGACGGGGUCGGAGGCCUCGAAAGUUUACAUCUAGCUACUGGGUGGUUCGAUUAUGAGUGGUCUAGAAGUUUAUUGCCCACAGAAGCCGAACGGUGAUGCCUCAGACUCAGUUUCUUGGUUCCGUCCGAAAACGCCGAAAGAAAGGCACAAUGGCCUAGAAAGGAACGACCGGACUUAGAACGGGGUCGGAGGCCUCGAAAGUUCACGUAUAGCUACAGGGUGGUCCGAUUCUGAGUGGUCUCGAAGUUUCUUGCCCACAGAAGGCAAACUGUGAUGUCCUAGACUCUGUUUCUUGGUUCCGUCCCAAAACGCCGAAAGAAAGCCACAAUGGCCUAGAAAGGAACAACCGGACUUAGAACGGGGUCGGAGGCCUCAAAAGUUCACGUCUGGGUACUGGGUGGUCCGAUUCUGAGUGGUCUCGAAGUUUCUUACCCACAAAAGCCGAACGGUGACGCCCCAUACUCGGUUUCUUGGUUCCGUCCCAAAACGCCGAAAGAAAGGCACAAUGGCCUAGAACGGAACGACCGGACUUAGAAUGGGGUCGGAGGCCUCGAAAGUUCACGUAUGGCUACUGGGUGGUCCGAUUGUCAGCGGUCUCGAAGUUUCUUGCCCACAAAUGCCGAACGGUGACGCCCCCGACUCGGUUUCUUGGUUCCGUCCCAAAACGCCGAAAGAAAAGCACAAUGGCCUAGAAAGGAACGACCGGACUUAGAACGGGGUCGGAGGCCUCAAAAGGUCACGUCUGGGUACUGGGUGGUCCGAUUCUGAGUGGUCUCUAAGUUUCUUGCGCACAAAAGCCGAACGCUGACGCCCUAGACUCGGUGUCUUGGUUCCGUCCUAAAACGCCGAAAGAAAGGCAUAAUGGCCUAGAAAGGAACGACCGGACUUAGAACGGGGUCGGAGGCCUCGAAUGUUCACCUCUGGCUUUUGGGUGGUCCGAUUCUUAGCAGUCUUGAAGUUUCUUGCCCACAAAAGCCGAAUAGUGAUGCCCCAGACUCGGUUUCUUGGUUCCGUCCCAAAACGCCGAAAGAAAGCCACAAUGGCCUAGAAAGGAACGACCGGACUUAGAACGGGGUCGGAGGCCUCGAAAGUUCACGGCUGGCAACUGGGUGGUCCGAUUCUCAGCGGUCUCGAAGUUUCUUGCCCACAAAAGCCGAACGGUGAUGCCCCAAACACGGUUUCUUGGUUCCGUCCCAAAACGCCGAAAGAAAGGCACAAUUGCCUAGAAAGGAACGACCGGACUUAGAACGGGGUCGGAGGCCUCGAAAGUUCACGUCUGGCUACUGGGUGGUCCGAUUCUGAGUGGUCUCGAAGUUUCUUGCCCACAAAAGCCGAACGGUGACGCCCAGACUCGGUUUCUUGGUUCCGUCCCAAAACGCCGAAAGAAAGGCACAAUGGCCUAGAAAGGAACGACCGGACUUAGAAUGGGGUCGGAGGCCUCAAAAGUUCACGUCUGGCUACUGGGUGGUCCGAUUCUGAGUGGUCUCGAAGUUUCUUGCCCACAAAAGCCGAACGGUGACGCCCUAGACUCGGUUUCUUUGUUCCGUCCCAAAACGCCGAAAGAAAAUCACAAUGGCCUAGAAAGGAACGACCGGACUUAGAACGGGGUCGGAGGCCUCGAAAGUUCACGUCUGGCUACUGGGUGGUCCGAUUCUGAGUGGUCUCGAAGUUUCUUGCCCACAAAAGCCGAACGGUGACGCCCAGACUCGGUUUCUUGGUUCCGUCCCAAAACGCCGAAAGAAAGGCACAAUGGCCUAGAAAGGAACGACCGGACUUAGAACGGGUCGAGGCCUCAAAAGUCACGUCUGGGUACUGGUGGUCGAUUCUGAGUGGUCUCGAAGUUUCUUGCCCACAAAAGCCGAACGGUGACGCCCCAGACUCGGUUUCUUGGUUCCGUCCCAAAACGCCGAAAGAAAGGCACAAUGGCCUAGAAAGGAACGACCGGACUUAGAACGGGGUCGGAGGCCUCGAAAGUUCACGUCCGACUACUUGGUGGUCCGAUUCUGAGUGGUCUCGAAGUUUCUUGCCCACAAAAGCCGAACGGUGACGCCCCAGACUCGGUUUCUUGGUUCCGUCCCAAACGUCCGAAAGAAAGGCACAAUGGCCUAGAAAGGAACGACCGGACUUAGAACGGGGUCGGAGGCCUUGAAAGUUCACGUCUGGCUACUGGGUGGUCCGAUUCUGAGUGGUCUCGAAGUUUCUUGCCCACAAAAGCCGAACGGUGAUGCCCCAGACUCGGUUUCUUGGUUCCGUCCCAAAACGCCGAAAGAAAGGCACAAUGGCCUAGAAAGGAACGACCGGACUUAGAACGGGGUCGGAGGCCUCGAAAGUUCACGUCUGGCUGCUGGGUGGUCCGAUUCUGAGUGGUCUCGAAGUUUCUUGCCCACAAAAGCCGAACGGUGAUGCCCCAGACUCGGUUUCUUGGUUCCGUCCCAAAACGCGAAAGAAAGGCACAAUGGCCUAGAAAGGAACGACCGGACUUAGAACGGGUCGGAGGCCUCCAAAGUUCACGUCUGGCUACUGGGUGGUCCGAUUCUGAGUGGUCUCGAAGUUUCUUGCCCACAAAAGCCGAACGGUGAUGCCCCCAGACUUGUUUCUGGUUCCGUCCCAAAACGCGAAAGAAAGGCACAAUGGCCUAGAAAGGAACGACGGACUUAGAACGGGGUCGGAGGCCUCGAAAGUUCACGUCUGGUACUGGGUGGUCCGGUUCUGAGUGGUCUCGAAGUUUCUUGCCACAAAAGCCGAACGGUGAUGCCCCAGACUCGGUUUCUUGGUUCCGUCCCAAAACGCCGAAAGAAAGGCACAAUGGCCUAGAAAGGAACGACCGGACUUAGAACGGGGUCGGAGGCCUCCGAAAGUUCACGUAUCUACUGGGUGGUCCAUUCUGAGUGGUCUCGAAGUUUCUUGCCCACAAAAGCCGAACGGUGACGCCCACCUCGGUUUCUUGGUUCCGUCCCAAAACGUGAAAGAAAGGCACAAUGGCCUAGAAAGGAACGACCGGACUCAGAACGGGGUCGGAGGCCUCGAAAGUUCACAUCUGGCUUGGGUGGUCCGAUUCUUGAGUCUCGAAGUUUCUUGCCCACAAAGCCGAACGGUGAUGCCCAUACUCGGUUUCUUGGUUUCGUCCAAAACGUCGAAGAAAGGCACAAUGGCCUAGAAAGGAACGACUAGACUAAGAACGGGGGAGGAGGCCUCAAAGUUCACAUCUAACCACUGGGCGGUCCGAUUCUGAGUGAUCUCGAAGUUUCUUGCCCACAAAAGGCGAACGGUGAUGCCCCAUACUCGGUUUCUUGGUUCCGUCCAAAACGCCGAAGAAAGGCACAAUGGCCUAGAAAGGAACGACCGACAGAACGGGGUCGAGGCCCGAAAGUUCACAUCUAACCACUGGGCGUCCGCUGAGUGAUCUCGAAGUUUCUUGCCCACAAAAGAACGGUGAUGCCCCAGACUCGGUUUCUUGUUCCGUCCCAAAACGCCGAAGAAAGGCACAAUGGCCUAAAAGGAACGACCGUCAGAACGGGGUCGGAGGCCUCAAAGUUCACAUCUACUGGGCGGUCCGAUUCUGAGUGAUCUCGAAGUUUCUUGCCCACAAAAGCCGAACGGUGAUGCCCCAGACUCGGUUUCUUGGUUCCGUCCAAAACGCCGAAGAAAGGCACAAUGGCCUAGAAAGGAACGACCAGACUAAGAACGGGGUCGGAGGCCUCGAAAGUUCACAUCUAACCACUGGGCGGUCCGAUUCUGAGUGAUCUCGAAGUUUCUUGCCCACAAAACCGAACGGUGAUGCCCCAUACUCGGUUUCUUGGUUCCGUCCCAAAACGAAGAAAGGCACAAUGGCCUAGAAAGGAACGACCAGACUCAGAACGGGGUCGGAGGCCUCGAAAGUUCACAUCUAACCACUGGCGGUCCGAUUCUGAGUGAUCUCGAAGUUUCUUGCCCACAAAAGCCGAACGGUGAUGCCCUACUCGGUUUCUUGGUUCCGUCCCAAAACGCCGAAGAAAGGCACAAUGGCCUAGAAAGGAACGACGACUCAGAACGGGGUCGGAGGCCCGAAAGUUCACAUCUAACCACUGGGCUGUCCGAUUCUGAGUGAUCUCGAAGUUUUUGCCCACAAAAGCCGAACGGUGAUGCCCAACUCGGUUUCUUGGUUCGUCCAAAACGCCGAAGAAAGGCACAAUGGCCUAGAAAGGAACGACCGACUCAGAACGGGGUCGGAGCCCGAAAGUUCACAUCUAACCACUGGGCGGUCCGAUUCUGAGUGAUCUCGAAGUUUCUUGCCCCAAAAGCGAACGGUGAUGCCCAGACUCGGUUUCUUGUUCGUCCCAAAACGCCAAGAAAGGCACAAUGGCCUAGAAAGGAACGACCGGACUUAGAACGGGGUCGGAGGCCUCGAAAGUUCACAUCUAACCACUGGGUGGUCCGAUUCUGAGUGAUCUCGAAGUUUCUUGCCCACAGAAGCCGAACGGUGAUGCCCCAGACUCGGUUCCUGGUUCCGUCCCAAAACGCCGAAGAAAGGCACAAUGGCCUAGAAAGGAACGACCAGACUUAGAACGGCCUCGAAAGUUCACAUCUAACCACAUGGUGGUCUGAUUCUGAGUGAUCUCGAAGUUUCUUGCCCACAAAAGCCGAACGGUGAUGCCCCAGACUCGGUUUCUUGGUUCCGUCCCAAAACGCCAAGAAAGGCACAAUGGCCUAGAAAGGAACGACCGACUCAGACGGGGUCGGAGGCCUCGAAAGUUCACAUCUAACCACUGGGCGGUCCGAUUCUGAGUGAUCUCGAAGUUUCUUGCCCACAAAAGGAACGGUGAUGCCCUAGACUCGGUUUCUUGGUUCCGUCCCAAAAGCCAAAGAAAGGCACAAUGGCCUAGAAAGGAACGACCGACUCAGAACGGGGUCGGAGGCCUCGAAAGUUCACAUCUAACCACUGGCGGUCCGAUUCUAGUGAUCUCGAAGUUUCUUGCCCACAAAAGCCGAACGGUGAUGCCCCAUCGGUUUCUUGGUUCCGUCCAAAACGCCGAAAAAAGGCACAAUGGCCUAGAAAGGAACGACCGGACUUAGAACGGCCUCGAAAGUUCACAUCUAACCACUGGUGGUCCGAUUCUGAGUGAUCUUGAAGUUUUCAGCAAAAAAGAACGGUGAUGCCCAGACUCGGUUUCUUGGUUCCGUCCCAAAACGCCAAAGAAAGGCACAAUGGCUUAGAAAGGAACGGGACUCAGACAGGGGUCGGAGGCCUCGAAAGUUCACAUCUAACUGGGCGGCCGAUUCUGAGUGAUCUCGAAGUUUCUUGCCCACAAAAGGCGAACGGUGAUGCCCAGACUCGGUUUCUUGGUUCCGUCCAAAACGCGAAGAAAGCCACAGUGGCCUAGAAAGGAACGACCGGACGCAGACAGGGGUCGGAGUCCUCGAAAGUUCACAUCUAGCCACUGGCGGUCCGAUUCUGAGUGAUCUCGAAGUUGCUUGCCCACAAAAGCCGAACGAUGAUGCCCUAGACUCGGUUUGUUGGUUUCGUCUCAAAACGCCGAAGAAAGGGACAAUGGCCUAGAAAGGAACGACCGAACUCAGAACGGGGUCCGAGGUCUCGAAAAUUCACAUCUAACCACUGGCGGUCCGAUUCUGAGUGAUCUUGAAUAUUCUUGCCCACAAAAGCCGAACGGUGAUGCCCCAGACUCGGUUUCUUGGUUUCGUCCCAAAAUGCCGAAGAAAGGCACAAUGACCUAGAAAGGAACGGCCGGACUCAGAACGGUGUCGGAGGCCUCGAAAGUUCACAUCUAACCACUGGACGGUCCGAUUCUGAGUGAUCUCAAAGUUUCUUGCCUACAAAAGCCGAACGGUGAUGGCCCAUACUCGGUUUCUUGGUUCCGUCUACAAACGCCGAAGAAAGGCACAAUGGCCUAGAAAGGAACGACCGAACUCAGAACGGGGUCCGAGGCCUCGAAAGUUCACAUCUAACCAGUGGGCGGUCCGUUUUGAGUGAUCUCGAAGUUUCUUGCCCACAACAACCGAACGGUGAUGCCCAGACUCCGUUUCUUGGUUCCGUCCCAAAACGCCAAAGAAAGGCACAAUGGCUUAGAAAGGAACGACCGGACUCAGACAGGGGUCGGAAACCUCGAAAGUUCACAUCUAGCCACUGGGGGUCCGAUUCUUAGUGAUCUCGAAGUUUCUUACCCACAAAAGGCGAACGGUGAUGCCCUAGACUCAGUUUCUUGGUUCCGUCCCAAAACGCCGGAGAAAGGCAUAAUGGCCUAGGAAGGAACGACCAGACUCAGAACGGGGUCGGAGGCCUCGAAAGUUCACAUCUAACCACUGGGCGGUCGUAUUCUGAGUGAUCUUGAAGUUUCUUGCCCACAAAAGGGGAAAGGUGAUGGCCCAGACUCGGUUUCUUGGUUCCGUCCCAAAACGCCGACGAAAGGCACAAUGGCCUAGAAAGGAACGACCGGACUCAGACAGGGGUCGGAGUCCUCAAAAGUUCACAUCUAGCCACUGGACGGUCUGAUUCUGAGUGAUCUCGAAGUUUCUUGCCCACAAAAGCUGAACGAUGAUGCCCUAGACUCAGUUUCUUGGUUCCGUCCCAAAACGUCGAAGAAAGGCACAAUGGCCUAGAAAGGAACGGCCGGACUCAAAACGGGGUUGGAGGCCUCGAAACUUCACAUCUAACCACUGGGCGGUCUGAUGCUGAGUGAUCUCAAAGUUUCUUGCGACAAAAGCCGAACGGUGAUGCCCCAGACUCGGUUUCUUGGUUCCGUCCCAAAACGUCGAAGAAAGGCACAAUGACCUAGAAAGGAACGACCGGACUCAGAACGGGGUCGGAGGCCUCGAAAGUUCACAUCUAACCACUGGACGGUCCGAUUUGAGUGAUCUCGAAGAGUCUUGCCCACAAAAGCCGAACGGUGAUGCCCUUGACUCGGUUUCUUGGUUCCGUCCAAUCGUUUCGACAUCUUUACUCAAUCGGAGGUAACUAUACAGACAACACAAUUCAGAACUAUAGGUGAGUCCAAUAGUAGAGAAUCCCUUACCUUAUAACCUUACUUAAGCUUAUUUUUCAAACUAAAGUGCAACGAACCGACCUAAACAUAAUUGAAGAGAAAUCAAUCACUUCUACAAACAAUUUAAUCCAUUCAAUUCACUCUAUAUGUAAAUUCCAUAACUUACCCAAAUUGUGGAGAAUCAAAUUCUAACGGAGACGGAUCGGUGCAACAAAUAACCGAACAAUUCAAAUCUAAACAUACAUGGCGUGACGGAACCGGAGUGACUCGGUCUAACGGUGAUGCGACGAUAGGACAAAAUUUGCUUGACGUUCGGUGUAGGUGGAAGACGGUGAUGAAGUUGAUUGGAGAAUGAAAAGAGAAGGAAGAAAGAGACGGUGGUGUGGCCGUAGGUUGAAGAGGAAGAGAAAGGAAGAAGAUGAAUAGGAAAAGAGAAAAAAUAAGAUUAAAUAUUAUAAAUAUAUAUAUAUAUAUGAAAUACAAAAAUAAAAGUAGAAUAACGAUGAUAAAAGAGUAAAAAAAUUUGAAAAUAAAGAUUUGAUACAAAUCCAAUAUUUGGAGGAAAAAAAAGUGUGUUAAGAUAAUGUAGGAGAAAAUCAAUAUUUAUGCUAAAAUUUUGCAUAUUUCAAAAUUAGUUACAGUUUAACUAAAAAGCAGGCGAGGAGAUUUUAGGGUUAAUGAAAAUUCAAAACACGUGAAAUGCUCAUGUUUGCUAUUCUUCUAAUAAAAUUUUGCUAUUUUCUCAAAUGAGUGUAAUCCAACAAAAUGAAGUUGUGUGUGUGUGAACAAAAAUGAGGUAAAUAGCUUUGAUGAUGAUGGCAAAUGGGUAAAGAAAAUCUUAUCUUAUUCUUCACUUUUCAUUUAAUUGACAAAAAGUAACCAACCAUAUGAAGGGAAAAACAAAAUGCUCUCUCAGUUACUUUACUCAUUUCUUUGUUCUUUGUGUGGGAGAUAUUUGAAAUGGAGAUGAAGAUCAAAAUGAAAGAGAGAUUAUGCAUACACUGUGAGAAGCACACAGAAAAAUUGAAAAUAAAUUGAGAAGAGAGUGAGAGAUAAGCCUGAGGGAGAAAUAUUCAUGUAACGCCCCAAACUUGAAGGUAAAUUAUUUUGAGAGAAUUAUUUCGAUUUGUUCAAGAUUUUUUUUUUAAAUAUGUUGAAGGGGAGAAAGAAGAUUUGAAAAUGUAUUAAUAUAAUUAAAUAUGUAUAUGUAUUUAAUUAUAUUUUUAUUAUUAUAUUUAUUUUACAUUUUAUUAAAUAAAAGAAAGAAAAUGAAAAUUUUAAAUAUAUAUAUAUAUAUAUUUAUUUUAUAUUUUUAUUAUAUUAUUUUAUAUAUUUUUUUAAAUAAAAAAGAAAAGAAAAUGAAAAUUUCUUUUUUCCCUUUUCUUCUUCCGCCCAGCGCCGCGACCCUCCCUUCCGUUCUCCAUCUCCGUUCGCGAAGCAACCUUGCAGCAGUCGUCCGCGUGACUCUCCGUUCGUCUGUUUCCGUCUCCAUUCACCGAAGCCGAACCCAACCGCCACCCUCUCUUUUCUCCUUCGGAUCGAAACCGCCGCGCCCAUCCACCUGUAACUGUCGUGCCUCCCCGCUCACAACCGUCGUCCAGAUCUGCAUCGCGAGCCGUCCAGGUCGUCGCUGCCGCUCGUGCUUCACCCUUGCAGUUCGCAGUAACCCAGAUCCGUCGCUGCAACCGUCGGCCGGUUCGUGAAGCCCUGCCGCGCAACCUCUGUUUCCAGCCGCCGCCCAUUUCGUUCUCCUCUGUUUUCUACACUGCCACGCGACUCUCCGACCGCGUCUGUCUUCACCUCCGUGAAGCCGUCGAUGCAUACAUCUUGUGAAGCCCGGUCGCCGCGUCAGAUCGUCGAUCGAUUUUGAGGCAGCCGCCACGUCUCCUUUGGCCGACCGCUGACCGACCCACACUUAGGAUUUUUGCUGCGAGUUCGACAGUCGUGCGUUGAGGUGUUGGGAGUAACGUUGGGCUCCCUUAAAUUCACAACCAAUAUAUGAAUUGUUGAGGGUUCAGUUCGCCAAUACUUCGGUGAGUUGGAACUUACGUUGAGGAAAGUAAGUGAGAUAUGUAUCUUGAAAGUAAUCGAAUUUUUGUAUUGUAUUGCUUAGGAUUGUUUCGAGGACGUUAGUUGAUUAAGGAGCUUCCCUAACUUUGAGGUAAGGGAUUUUCUACUGGACUCACUUAUGAUUGUGAAUUGUAUGUCUGUAUGAUUGUCUCUGACUGAGUAAAGAUGUUGAGAUGAUAUAUAUAUAUACACGUAUGGAUGUAGAUUCGGUGUUGAAUGUAUACUGUGGAUUGACUGAAAAUAUAUAUAUACAUAUGGAUUGAAGUAGACUUAGUGUUGAAUGCAUAUUGUGAUUGUCUUGGAAUAUAUAUAUAUAUGUGUGUGGAUGUGGACAGGACGAAAAUUGUAGAUUGUGUUUGUAUGAGAUGCAGAUGUGAACUUGUGAUUGUCGUUUAGACUGGGUGUACGUUACGCUAAAGUAUGACUGUGUGCUGGUGAACUAAGGGUGUAUUGACUGUAUAGUUUGAUUGACUGACGUAUUAGUAUGUUAUUGACAGACAUAUGACUAAAGUAAGAUAAGUUGACUGUUAGGACGUUGAGAGAAAGAACUUUAUAUUUUGAAGUAACUGAAAGAUGGAUUGAAUGGAAUGAGGGGAAAAUUGUUAGCUUUUAUUGGGAUGUGUGCCUUGUAGGUGUCCCACGGGAUCACCAAUUUAUUCUGCACCUUCGGGAGCAUUAGACUGAUAUGUGUUUCUGCAGAACACUAGACUGAUAUGUACGUCCCUCGGGCGUUAGACUGAAAUGUGCAUCCUACGGGAUCACAAGACUGCGACUGUACAGGGUGUCCCAAUAGAAUGUUAACAAUUUAUUUUCCCCUGACGGGACCAGUAGAGGGUCUCUUACUGAGUAUUGUUAUACUCACCCUUCUUAUGUUUAAUUUUCAGGCAAAGGAAAUAAAGGUGGCAAAUCGGCGAGGGGCAGGAAGGAAGCGUGAUUGCCAUAGGAAACGUGUCAUUUUGAGGUUUAAGAUGUUGUAUUGAAAUUUAGUUUACAAACUUUUAUUUGUAAAUAGUAUUAUUUUUAAGUUUUUUUUUUAUAUUAGAAAAUCAGGCCUGUCUUAAAGUUGUUUUUAAAUUGGCUUACGUUUCAUUUUGUAUCAACCAAAGUCUUUUGUCAAAAAUUAAUGACCUCGACUUACCUAGAAAAGUUGGGUCGUUACAAUUCAUUUCCUUUUCAAAGUGAAUUGCAAAGAAAUUUUCUCAAAUUGAAAAGAAAGGAGAAAUAUACAAAUUCAGCCACCGCUUCUUCUCCUUCAGUUUGCAGUUUUCGUCUCCCUCUCUUCUAUUAUUAAAAUAAAUAAAUAAAAUAUCACAACCCGACUUAACACAAACUAUUUACUCCAACUUUUUAAACCACAAAUUUAAUUUCUCAACUUUUAAACUAUUUUAAACUUACAAAUCUACUUUAUUCAUUUCUUCAGAUUUAUAUCUAACAAAUAAAAAAAAAUCAAAAUUUAUAGACACUUAAAACAUAAAAUUGAAAGACCUAUUAAACAAUUGAAAGGUUUAAGAGGUAACUAGACAAACUUUAAAAGUUCUAAGGGAAAGAAUCUUUUGUUUAACUAUUACAGUAAUUAAUUUUGAAAAUAUGUUAUUUUAGAAAAACUACAAGUGUUUGACAACUCUUUAAAAGCUAUUGAAAUACUCUCAAAUUGUAUUUUAAGCAAUUUUAAUAAAAAGAAAGUCUACAUAAAAAAAAUACCCUUUUUAAAGGAACAUUUUUUCUCUAAUCACUCCAAUGGAACUCAAACACGUACUUCAAGUUAAUUCUGGUAUCCAAGAAUCAGUCUCAUCCAACAUAAACAAGAACAUUCAACUUGAUAGAACUUCAUUACCUCAUAUUUACAAUUCCCAAAGUUACUAAAUGAAGGACCAUUCCUAAAACAUACUUACAUCCAACUUUUUCCAUGAAUAAACUUAUCGUCUUUUAUGUACUGAUGAAUAUAGAGAUGGAGCGAUCAGAGUUUGUUUAUGUACCAAAUUAGAGUGGUACUCUCUGGACCGAACUAUUCGCCUUCUUGGGGACAUGCCUAAAUAUAUCCUUAAGCUGUCAUCCUCAGACGAAUGGCCAAACUGAAGGAUUCAAUUGUAUGCUUAAGGAAUAUCUACUACAUUUUGUUGAUUUUGGACAAAAGAAUUGGGCCUAGUUGAUGGAUGUGGCUCAAGUUUUGAGCGGAAGACCAACUCUUCAUAGAGUUUAAAGCAAAGCAAAUUUCAUUUAUUGGACAUCAACAUCAGCAUCUCACUAGAAAAUACGAAGGGCCUGUUGAAGUUCUGAAGAAAAUUGGAAAUUCAUCCUAUAGGGUAUCGUUGCCUGCAUGGAUAAAAAAUCAUCUAGUAGCUCAUGUGAGCAACUUGAAACCUUACCAUCAAGAUCCAGAUGACCAGUAGUGCAACAAUGGUGUAUGGUCAUCUAGUGACCUAAAGCAGAAAGACAAUAAAGAAAUGGAAGAAAUCCUUCCUAAGAGAGUGAGGAAGGGUAUACCCAUGAAGAAGAUACAUGAAUUCCUACUGAAGUGAAAGAACCUCCAUGUGGAAGAAACACGUUAGGAAUGUGCUGAAGACCUUGGAGCGUGAAAGAAGAAGAUCGAGGAAUUCUAGCUUCGCCAAUCGACAGGGACGUCAAUUGUUUAAGUGGGGAAGAAUGUAACAAGCAUGCUUGUCCAGGGCGCUGUUUACUUAUGGCAGCAUGCCCAAACACCCCCAAUUUACAUUGUUUUAAUGUUUUGUAUUUAGUUUUACUUUUUGCUUUCCUUUUUAUGUCAUAAACCUUGGGUGUGACUUGGCUUUUUCUUAUGCAAGCCUACCAGAACUAAAAAAGUCUAAAAUGUACUAUAGAUGGACAUAGUAGUUGAAUCCCUGUCCAAGCCUUGUUGCACUCUUCGCAAUCAAAGUUUUUCUUUGCAAUUGACAGUCUUCAAUGCUUGCUUUAACGAUAUUUUCAUUGAAUUUCUUUCUUCUCACGUUUUAUAAAACAUUUUCUCAAGAACCUGAAGAGAGGCUACAUCGUAUCAUGUGUUUGUCUGUGGUUUUUGGAUUUUGAUCAGCUAACUUGUUGUCUACGUAAAACAAGUGCAACAUAAUCGCGCCUCUCGUGUUUGAAAGCUCGCUAUUGUGACACAAGAAAUGCACUAGCCAAGAAUGCACAUGAGGAGGGCUAUACGAAAUGCCAAGCACGCAACCAAGUGAGGUUCACAAUGUGCUUGUGUGUGAGGUUAGCACGCGGGCAUGCCCAACACGCAUGAAACUCUUGUGAGAUCACACACAGUAGCCAGCGCCCAACCAAGGCCCUUCCACCCACCCAUUCGUGUCAGCAGUGUCAUAUUGCGUGUUGAGCUAUUGGUAAUUUUUUGAGUUUUUUAAGUAUACUUUUGAUAUUUUCUUGGCAAAAGAUAAUUAAUUGUACUAUUUUACCAUUAUUUCAAGACAUGAGAAGAUCAUACAAAUUUAUAAACCAAGGAUUUGAGCUUGUAUCUGUGAGUGGAAAAUGUUUUAUUUAAAGUGAUUUCAAGCAUGUUCUUAAGUCAUGAUUUAUGACGGAUUUAUGAUAAAAUAUUUAAGUUAUGUUAUGAAAGUCUUUCAAGCGUGUUAUUGUUUAAAGGUAUUUAUUCUAGCAUAUUGUUUACUCUUCAAAAUGCAUAAUAUUCAAAAUGUUUUCCCACUUUCUAGGUAGAGAUCGUGUCCUCUAAGCCUAACUUGCUGCUACCUGUCUACUGAAGGAUUUCAUUUUGUUAUCGUAUGUGUCCUAUUAUUUUGUACUAAUGAUAAAUUAGUCUUUUGUGCUAUCAGACUUAGGCUUUUGGGAAGGUUUUAUAAGGUUUGUUUCUAGAUAAAUAAGAUUACGUUUUUUCUAUGUAAAACUUGUCUAAGGUUGUUAAAUGAAAAAGGUUUAGCCCAAUUGGUUUUAGUAAAAUUUAUGUGUUAUGUUUCCGCUAUUGUUUAGAGUUUAAACGUUCAAGCUAAGGGUCAAAUGGUGUCGUUCUUGACGUGGGUGCUAUCGAUUGGCUUCACGCCAUAUCUCGAGCCACGCAAGUAGGUGCUCAUGGUGGGGUGUGAUAGCCUAAGUUGGCUUAUUAACGGUUAAAAUGUAAACAUGUCCAUAACAAAAUAGUCGGGCAAGGCCCAUGUGUCUAAUGAAAUAUUUCAAGACUAUUAGACUUAUGAUGUAUUAGGUAAAUAUGACCAUACCUUGAAUAAUCAUCAAUGAAGCUAAUGAAAUAUUCAUAUCCACCUCGAGCUUUGACAUUCAGUGGUCCACAAAGGUCCGAAUGUACGAGCUCUAAGGGUCCUUUGGCUCUAAGACCUUUUCCAGUAAAAGAUCUCUUGGUCAUUUUUCCUUCAAGACAAGAUUCACAAGGAGGUAAAGAGUUAUCUUCUAACUGAAUUAGAAGCCCACUUUUAACCAAUCUCCCAAUCCUAUUGAGAUUUAUGUGACCAAGUCUUAAGUGCCAUAAAUAGGCAUUAGAAGAAACUUUUUGUCUUUUAUUCUGAGUUUCAGCUGUUCUGAAUAUUUCAGUAUUUAAGACAAAAUUUGCUCUGGUUGGUCUUAACUUAUAUAAGUUGUCUUCAAGUAUGGCAGAACAAACUAGAAUACCUUUAUAGAAAACGAACGCUUCAUUCAUUUCAAAAGAUAUUCUAUACAUUUGUUCCAAAAUACAAGAGAUAGAUAUUAAAUUUCUUUUCAUUUGAGGUACAUAUAAGACAUUCUUAAGUAUGACAUAUCUAUCUCUAAAAAACAACUCUAAAUCUCCCACUGCUCUAGCUGAGACCAUCUCUCCUGUUCCAACUUUGAGAGUGAUCUCGCCUUCUGAAAGCUUUUUCCAAGAACUAUUUUCCUGAAAUGAGAAGCAAAUAUGGUUAGUGGCUCCUGAAUCUAGUAUCCAGGUACAAUUUUCAUAUUCCACUAAACAUGUUUCUACAACUAGUAAAUCAUAUUUACCUUGUGUUUCCUUCUCUGCCUUUUUUUCUGCAAGGUAUUUUGGGCAUGUUCGUAACGAGUGCCCGUUUUGGCCACAAUGGUAACACUUACCUUUUUCUGCACCUUUCUUACCCGUGUUCUGUUUGGGAGUCUUUCCCUUUCCCUUCUUUUUUCUUUGAGCAUUAGGUUUUGAGGGUCCAUCUUUGGUUUUAGAGGACGAUCCUCUUAUAAACUUUCUUUUUGUGGUAGCAACAUUUGCUUCCACUUGUUUUCCUUUACCCAUAGUAAGGUUUUGGAAUCGCUGGAGUUCAUUCAGAAGGGUUGUCAAGUUAAAUUCUAUCUUGUUCAAAGACGCAUUCGUUUGGAAUGGAAUGAAGCUCUUCGGAAGAGACUCUAAGAUAAAAUUAACUUGAUUAACCUCUUCGAUGGGACCACCAUUCACUUCAGCAGCAAUGUUGAAGUGCAUCAUCAUGUCUAGAACAUGUUCUCUAACAGAGGUCCCUUCCUUCAUACGCUUAGUGUAAAUGUAUUUGACUGCCUCGUGUCUUAAGGACCAUUCUGGUUGCCCAAACAUUCCCCUUAAUGAAUCCAUAAUCUCUUUAGCCGUGGCUAAGGAUUCAUGUUUCUUUGCCAAUACAUCAGACAUGCUGGCAAGAAUGUAGACACGGGCUUUUUCAUUAGCUUUUAUCCAUCGAUCAUAUGCAUCCCGACUAGUUCGGUUAGCAUUAGAGGCAGGGUUUUGAGGACAUUCCUCAGUUAAGACAAAUCUUAAAUCGUCAACCACUAGUAUUGUGUUAAGAUUUGAUUUCCAAGCCGCAUAAUUAUCGCCAUUAAGUUUUUCGAAAGCUAAAAGUUGAACUAUUGAGCUAUUCAUGCUGAAAAACAAACAUAUUCUUUUUAGGAAAAAACUAUAAUCAUAAAAAAUAUCCAAUCUAAUUUAGCAAUUACUAAUAAUGUACCCUUUCAUUAUUUGUAUUUUGCAACAAUAUUUCAAAGGUUUAGAACAACCUUCUCCGAAGGGUAGUUGAUUAUUCCUCCUUUGAACCAAGACAAUCUUGACUAGAUGCUAUCUCUAGAAUAACUGCUUAUUCUUUAUAGCACUUAGUUAUCGCUACUUUAGUCAAGAAUAUACUAACAACUUAGUAAUUCUUGUAAGUGUUACCCACCAUUUUCAGACUUCAUAGAUUAGAAUCAUUUAUGAAAACUAAUCUAAGAAAACCUAUCCAGAUUUGGAGUUCGCGGUGUUCCGAAUCCUAUAAUACAACCCUCCGAAGGGAACGUCGCUCCAGGGCAGACAAGUAGGCAUAUUAUAGAAAUCUCACGGUGCGACCUAAUGGAAGAGACCGUGGGAUGUGCUGCCACAAAUCCCUCACCCACUUACUAUGAACUACUUCCCUUAUUCACCUUGAUUUUGAUCCAUGCAAACACUCUCCGAAGGGAGUCCGCUCUUAUGCACAGCACAAAGCCCUGCAUGGACCUCACAGUGUGAACUCUUAGGGACACUAGAGCUAAAAUACAUUUAUUUUUCUCUAGUUGAAGUGUUCUAAAGAAGAAAAAAAAUAGGGUAAUCCAAGCUUCAAGAUUUAUAUUUAGGCUAACUUAAACAAAUCUUUAAGUCUAGAUAAAACGUCCAAGUAUAACCAUUAUACAGGAUUUUAACCUAUGAUGUCUAGGUGAUAAACCAUUUUUAUUACCUCACACCUCUCACGAAUGCUCAUAAAACUAGGUUAACUAGGCUCAAGAACUGAUUACGAUCUCCAGGUAGGAGGUGUUCCGUAAACCGUCAACUUAAGAACCUCCAGCCUUAGUCAUCUUAUCUGACUUGUUGACAAGAUUGAACCAGGUGAGCCUUUUGUAAAAACAAUAAUUAAUUAAUUUUAGACUUAAUCAAUCAUUUUAUCAAUAUAUAACCUUAUAAAAACAAUCAAUUAAUAUGGAUUUUAAUUUAUUUAACUUUAAUUAAAUCAUAUUUAAUUUUUAAUUUAAUUAAAUCAUUUUUAAUUUAAUUAAAUCAUAUUUAAUUUAUUUUAAUUAAAAUCAAACAAUAAUUAAUUAAUUUGAUUAAAUCAUAUUUAAUCAAGAAUAACUUAAUUAAUUAAAUAAUUAAUUAAUCAUAUUAAUUAAUUUCCAUAUUAAUCAAUUAACAUGCAUACAAUACAAUAUAACCUUUAUAUCAUACAUUUUAAUGCAUGAACAUGUUAACCUAUGGUUGGAUUUUAAAUCUAUAUGACAUUCAAAAUGCACAUACAAAUUUAAAGUAAUUUAAUCAUACAUCACAUGCAUAAAUAAAAAAAAACACCCUAAAAUGGACUGAUUUUUGGCUCCUAAAUUAACUAAGUACUAAAUUAUUACAUAAUUAAUUUGGUGUAGUACAGAACCACUCCCAAAAACUUCGAACCGGCCCAAAAACCAAAUUUAUUGGCUUGAACGGGCCAAUUAACUAAACACGCCCAGGCGCACACAGGUCAGGCGCAGGCGGGCGCAGCGGCGGGUCGUGAAGCGGGUCAAGGCCGGGUUUUCGGGUCUGUGACCUUCUUUUCUUAUUUUUUUCAAUUCUCUCACCCGGUUGAACCAAUUACAGCCUAACUUCAACUCUAAUGACUUUUUUUUAUUUUAAAAAAAAUUACAAACACUUUGCAACAAUAAAAAUAAGCCAUUAACAAGGCUAAUUACAAUAAAUUAGAACAAAAUGUUGGAUUUUCCCACUAACUUAGUCCAAGGGUAAAAUGGUCAUUAGAUAUUUCUAGUCAAAAGUCAAACUUUGACUUUUCUUAGUCAAAAGUCAAUAUUUUGACUUUUUACCAUUUUGUCCGUCUUGACUAAUUCCAACCUCCCGAGCAUGAAUCCGCAUUCAUUUGUCCAAAAUUCAAAUCACAUUUGAAUAUAAGGCGGUCAAAGUUUGACUUUUCAAAGUCAAAAGUCAAAUUUUGACUUUUUACUAUUUUUGACCAAUUCCAUCAAUUCCGAGCUUCUUAGUAUGAAUCCGCAUUCAUACUUAUAGUAUGUAAAACAUAAAGCUCUAUUUCUAAUUAGAAGACCGACGACUAUAUCACUAUAUUUGUCGGUUUCCCUUUCUUCUCCCAAUUCGAACAAUUCGACUUAUUUUAUCACCAUGUUCUAAGUUUAAUCCAUAUGAGCUAGCAGAGGAACCUAAUGGACCUAUAGAUCAUGGGCUCCAACGAUUCAAGAUUAACUAGCUAAACUCUUUUAAACCGAGUUAAUCAACAUUCGUUAACUAACGGGUCAUUCCACUAAAGUCCCGUAGUUGCACUCCCUAACUAUAGAUAUAUUUGUGUCCAUUUGAUAAAACCAUAAUCAGUAAGUUAAUCCUUCACAGGUUGCUCAUAACCUUGGCUGGGUCAAAAUACCGUUUUUCCCCAAGAUUACAUCUUGCUCCUUAAGUCCCACUAAUCCACUAUUGAACAAUUGGUUUAAGCUUCAACCUAUAAACUUAAUCCUCUCGGGCCAAUGAGAGGGUGGGGCCCCUUGUUCAAGACUUGGAUUCAGUGCUUAAGAGAACAACCUAUCUACUAACCUAAAGCGGGUAGGAGUGAAUUCCAUCUUGUCCUAUGUUCCCAGCUAUCCACCCGAUCUUACCCCUGAAAUGGGAGGCUUAUUGGGCCAACGAUGAAGAGCUGCCCUCACCUAUGCAGAUCUAAGGAUAAUCUCGUGCGAACAAGAGUUCAUAGUUAACUCAGGAUUAAGACUAAGUUACCUAGGUCAUCAACAAUUGAGAUAGUUAGUUUUAAACAGUAAACGGUGUUAUAACGUAAAAAAGACUAAUUCAUGGUUCAGUCUUAUGUAAACAUUUUACAUAGGAUGUCUCUACAUGAACUAUUAGGAUCACCUCAUUUGUACUACAAAGUGGGCCGCAUCCAUAGUUUCUCUAAAUAAGGCGCCCAACCUUUAUUUCAUAUACUAUAGACUAUUUAGGCUAUAUACUCGAACUUGAUCCACGUUUAUGUUUACACAUAAAGUUCAAGUUUAUUCAAAAAUAGCCUUGGAACUUGAUUUAUUGGAUUUAAGAUUAUAAUAUUUAAUUUCUCAAUAACAGCUUUAUUGAACAGAAUAUGAUUUACAAACUACGAGUUUUAGGAGAAAAAAUUCCAACACGGAGGCCCCGAAAGUUCACGUCUAGCUACUGGGUGGUCCCAUUCUGAGUGAUCUCAAAGUUUCUUGCCCACAAAAGCCGAUCGGUGAUGCCCUAGACUCGGUUUCUUGGAUCUGUCCCAAAACGCCGAAGAAAGGCAAAUCGCCUAGAAAGGAACGACCGGACUCAGACUCGGUUUCUUGGUUCCGUCCCAAAACGCCGAAGAAAGGUACAAUCGCCUAGAAAGGAACGACCGAACUCAGACUCGGUUUCUUGGUUCUGUCCCAAAACGCCGAAGAAAGGCACAACGACCUAGAAAGGAACGACCGGAGUAAGAACGGGGUCGGAGGACCCGAAAGUGCAUAUCUAACCACUGGGCAGUCCGAUUCUGAGUGAUCUCGAAGUUUCUUGCCCAUAAAAGCCGAACGGUGAUGCCCUAGACUCGGUUUCUUCGUUCCAUCCCAAAACGUCGAAGAAAGGAACAAUGGCCUAGAAAGGAACGACCGGACUCAGAACGGGGUCGAAGGAUGCGAAAGUUCACAUCUAACCACUGGGCGGUCCGAUUCUGAGUGAUCUCGAAGUUUCUUACCGACAAAAGCCGAACGGUGAUGCCCCAGACUCGGUUUCUUGGUUUCGUCCCAAAACACCGAAGAAAUGCACAAUCGCCUAGAAAGGAACGACCGGACUCACAAUGGGGUCGGAGGCCUCGAAACUUCACAUCUAACCACUGGGCGGUCCGAGUCUGAGUGAUCUCGAUGUUAUUUGCCCACAAAAGCCGAACGGUGAUGCCACAGACUCGGUUUCUUGGUUCGGUCCCAAAACGCCGAAGAAAGGCACAAUAGCCUAGAAAGGAACGAUCAGACUCAUAAUUGGGUCGGAGGCCUCGAAAGUUCACAUCUAACCACUUGAAGGUCCGAUUCUGAAUGAUCUCGAAGUUUUUUGCCCACAAAAGCCGAACGGUGAUGCCGAGACUCGAUUUCUUGGUUCCGUCCCAAAACGCCGAAGAAAGGCACAAUGGCCUAGAAAGGAACGAUUGGACUCAGAACGAGGUCGGAGGCCUCGAAAGUUCACAUCUAACUACUUGGCGGUCCGAUUAUGAGUGAUCUCAAAGUUUCUUGCCCACAAAAGCCGAAUGGUGAUGCCCGGACUCGGUUUCUUGGUUCAGACCCAAAACGCCGAAGUAAGGCACAAUGACCUAGAAAGGAACGACCAAACUUAGAAUGGGGUCGGAGGCCUUGAAAGUUCACAUCUAACCAUUGAGCGGUCUGAUUCUGUGUAAUCUUCAAGUUGCUUGCCCACAAAAGCCAAACGGUGAUGCCCUAGACUCGGUUUCUUCGUUUCGUCCCAAAACGCCGAAAAAAGGCUCAAUGGCCUAGAAAGGAACGAUCGGACUCAGAAUGGGGUUGGAGGCCUCGAAAGCUCACAUCUAACCACUGGGCGAUCCGAUUAUGAGUGAUCUCGAAGUUUCUUGCCCACAAAAGCCGAACGGUGAUGCCCAGACUCGGUUUCUUGUGGUGCAGAUCUGGACGGCGGCAGAUCUGGACGCGUACGGCUACUUUGCAAACUGAAGAGAAGAGGAGAAGGGUCGCGGCGCUCGGCUUCAAAAGGGGAGACACGGCGGUUUGCGGCAGGGCUGCGGAUGGAAAAAGAAAAUGGAAGGGAAGGAGGCGACGGUUUGCAGCGGGCUGCGAACGGGAAGGAGAAGAGGAAUGGAGGUCGGUCGGUGGCGGUUUUGCUUCGCAAACGGAGAGAAAAGACGAAAGGGGAACGGCGGAAGGAAAAGAGAAAAGAGAAGGAAAGGAGAAGGGAAAAGAGAGGAAGCGGGGGGGGGGGGGGGUCGCGGCGCGCGAGGGAGAGAGAGGAGAGAGAUUUCUUUUUCCUUUGUUUUUCUUUUUAUUUAAAUUAAAUAUAAAUAAUAAAUAUAUAUAUAUAUUUAUAUAAAAUAAAAAAACAAAAUAUAUAUAUAACGGUUCUUGACGUUUUAAAAACGUCAAGAAUUUUUAUAAAUUUCUUGACGUUUUAAAAACAUCAAGGAACUUUUACAAUAGUCUUGACGUUUUAAAACCGUCAAGAAUAUUUUAUAAAUUUCUUGACGUUUUUAAAAAUGUCAAGGAUUUUUUUAUAAAUUUCUUGAUGUUUUUUAUUAAAAAUGAAAUCUUUCUUGACGUUUUUCGAAAAAAACGUCAAGAAAGGAAAACAGCAACCGUCAAGAAAGCCUAUUUUUCUAGUAGUGCGUCCCAAAACGCCGAGGAAAGGCGCAAUUUCCUACAAGAGAACGACCAAACUCAGAACGGGGUCAGAGGCCCCAAAACUUAUCAUCUAACCAUUGGGCGGUUUGAUUCUGAGUGAUCUUGAAAUUUCUUGCCCACAAAAGCCGAACGAUGAUGCCCCAUACCCGGUUUCUUUGUUCCGUCGCAAAACUCCCAAGAAAGGCACAAUGGCCUAGAAAGGAAUGACCGGACUCAGAACGGGGUCGGAGGCCUCGAAAGUUCACAUCUAACCACUGAGCGGUCUGAUUCUGAGUGAUCUCGAAGUUUCUUACCCACAACAGCCGAACGGUGAUGCCCAUACCCGGUUUCUUGGUUCUGUCGCUAAAUCCCAAGAAAGGCACAAUGGCCUAGAAAGCAACGACCGGACUCAGAAUGGGGUCGGAGGCUUCGAAAGUUCACAUCUAACCACUGGAUGGUCCGAUUAUGAGUGAUCUCGAAGUUUCUUGCCCACAAAAGCCGAACAAUGAUGCCCCAGACUCAGUUUCUUGGUUCCGUCCCAAAACGCGGAAGAAAGGCACAACGGCCUAGAAAGGAACGACCGGACUCAGAACGGGAUCGGAGGCCUCAAAAGUUCACAUCUAACCACGUGGCAGUCUGAUUCUGAGUGAUCUCGAAGUUUCUUUCCCACAAAAGCCCGAACGGUUGAUGCCCCCGACUCGGUUUCUUGGUUCGGUCCCAAAACGCCGAAGAAAGGCACAGUGGCCUAGAAAAGAACGCGCAGACUCAGAACGGGGUCGAAGGCCUCCGAAGUCCACAUCUAACCACUGGGCGGUCUGAUUCUGAGUGAUCUCGAAGUUUCUUGCCUACAAAAGUCGAACGGAGAUUCCCAGACUCAGUUUCUUGGUUCCGUCCCAAAACGCCGAAGAAAGGCACAAGGGCCUAGAAAGGAACGAUCGGACUCAGAACGGGGUCGGAAGCCUCAAAAGUUCACAUCUAACCACUGGGCGGUCUGAUUUUGAGUGAUCUCAAAGUUUCUUGGCCACAAAAGCCGAACGAUGAUGCCCCAUAGCCGGUUUCUUUGUUCCGUCGCAAAACUCCCAAGAAAGGCCCAAUAUCCUAGAAAGGAACGACCGAACUCAGAACAGGGUUAGAGGCCUCGAAAGUUCACAUCUAACCACUGAGCGGUCCGAUUUUAAGUGAUCUCAAAGUUUCUUGCCCACAAAAGCCAAAUGGUGAUGCCCCAUACCUGGUUUCUUUGUUCUGUUGCAAAACUCCCAAGAAAGGCACAAUGGCCUAGAAAGGAACGACCGGACUCAGAACAGGGUCGGAGGACUUGAAAGUUCACAUCUAACCACUGGGCGGUCCGAUUAUGAGUGAUCUCGAAGUUUCUUGCCCACAAAAGCCGAACGGUGAUGCCCCAAACUCGGUUUCUUGGUUCCGUCCCAAAACGCCGAAGAAAGGCACAACGACCUAGAAAGGAACGACCGGACUCAGAACGGGGUCGAAGGCCUCGAAAGUUCACAUCUAACCACGUGGCGGUCCUAUUCUGAAUGUUCUCAAAGUUUCUUUCCCACAAAAGUCGAACGGUGAUGCCCUAGACUCGGUUUCUUGAUUCCGUCCCAAAACGCCGAAGAAAGGCACAAGGGCCUAAAAAGGAUUGACCGGACUCAGAACGAGGUCGGAGGCCUUGAAAGUUCACAUCUAACCACUGGGCGGUCCGAUUCUGAGUGAUCUCGAAGUUUCUUGCCCUCAAAAGCUGAACGGUGAUGCCCCAUACCCGAUUUCUUUGUUCCGUCGCAAAACUCCCAAGAAAGGUACAAUGGCCUAGAAAGCAACGAUCGGACUCAGAACGGGGUCGGAGGCCUCAAAAGUUCACAUCUAACCACUGGGCGGUCUGAUUCUGAGUGAUCUCAAAGUUUCUUGCCCACAAAAGCCGAACGGUGAUGCCCCAUACCCGAUUUCUUUUGUUUCGUCGCAAAAGAACCAAGAAAGGCACAAUGGCCUAGAAAGGAACGACCAGCCUUAGAACGGGGUCGGAGGCCUCGAAAGUUCACAUCUAACCACUGGGCGGUCUGAUUCUGAGUGAUCUCGAAGUUUCUUGCCCACAAAUACCGAACGGUGAUGCCCCACACCCGGUUUCUUGUUUCCGUCGCAAAACGACCAAGAAAGGCACAGUGGCCUAGAAUGCAACGACCAGACUCAGAACGGGGUCGGAGGCCUCGAAAGUUCACAUCUAACCACUGGGCAGUCAGAUUAUGAGUGAUCUCGAAGUUUCUUGCCCACAAAAGCCGAACGGUUAUGCCGUAGACUCGGUUUCUUGGUUCCGUCCCAAAACACCGAAGAAAGGCACAACAGCCUAGAAAGGAACGACCAGACUCAGAACGGGGUCGGAGGCCUCAGAAGUUCACAUCUAACCACGUGGCGGUCCGAUUCUGAGUGAUCUGGAACUUUCUUUCCCACAAAAGCCGAACGGUGAUGCCCUAGACUCGGUUUCUUGGUUCUGUCCCAAAACGCUGAAGAAAGGCAUAGUGGCUUAGAAAGGAACGAGCAGACUCAGAACAGGGUCGAAGCCCUCAGAAGUUCACAUCUAACCAUUGGGUGGUCUGAUUCUGAGUGAUCUCGAAGUUCCUUACCCACAAAAGCCGAACGGAGAUGCCCUAGACUCGGUUUUUUGGUUUUGUCCACAAACGCCGAAGAAAGGCACAAUGGCCUAGAAAGGAACGACUCAUCUCAGAACGGGGUCCGAGGCGUCGAAAGUUCACAUCUAACCACUGAGCGGUCUGAUUCUGAGUGAUCUCGAAGUUUCUUGCCCACAAAAGCCAAACAGUGAUGCCCCUGACUCGGUUUCUUUGUUUCGUCACAAAACGCCGAAGAAAGGCACAAUGGCCUAGAAAGGAAUGACCAGACUCAGAACGGGGUCGGAGACCUCGAAAGUUCACAUCUAACCACUGGGUGGUCCAAUUCUGAGUGAUCUCAAAGUUUCUUGCCCACAAAAGCCGAACGGUGAUGCCCAGACUCGGUUUCUUGAUUUUGUCCCAAAACGCCAAAGAAAGGCACAAUGGCUUAAAAAGGAACGACCGGACUCAGACAGGGGUCGGAGUCCUUAAAAGUUCACAUCUAGCCACUGGGCGGUCCGAUUCUGAGUGAUCUCGAAGUUUCUUGCCCACAAAAGGUGAACGAUGAUGCCCUAGACUCGGUUUCUUGGUUCCGUCCCAAAAUGUCGAGGAAAGUCACAAUGGCCUAGAAAGGAACGACCAGACUCAGAACGGGGUCGGAGGCCUCGAAAGUUCACAUCUAACAACUGGGCGGUCUGAUUCUGAGUGAUCUCGAAGUUUCUUGCCCACAAAAGCCGAACGGUGAUGCCCCAGACUCGGUUUCUUGGUUCCGUCCCAAAACGCCAAAGAAAGGCACAAUGGCCUAGAAAGGAACGAUCAGACUUAGAAUGGGGUCGGAGGCCUCAAAAGUUCACAUCUAACCACUGAGCGGUCCGAUUCUAAGUGAUAUCAAAAUUUCAAGCCCACAAAAUGGGAAAGGAGAUGCCCUAGACUCGGAUUUUUGGUUUUGUCCACAAACGCCGAAGAAAGGCACAAUGGCCUAGAAAGGAACGACUCAUCUCAGAACGGGGUCCGAGGCGUCGAAAGUUCACAUCUAACCACUGAGCGGUCCGAUUCUAGUGAUCUCAAGUUUCUUGCCCACCGAAGACGGUGUGCCCUGACUCGGUUUCUUGUUUCGUCCAAAACGCCGACGAAAGGCACAAUGGCCUAGAAAGGAACGUCUGGACUCAGAACGGGGUCCGAGGCCUCGAAAGUUCACAUCUAACCAUUGGGCGGUCCGAUUCUGAGUGAUCUUGAAGUUUCUUGUCGACAAAAGCUAAACGGUGAUGCCUCAGACUCGGUUUCUUGGUUCCAUCCCAAAACGCCAAAGAAAGGCAUAAUGGCUUAGAAAGGAACGACCAGACUCAGACAGGGGUCGGAGUCCUCGAAAGUUCACAUCUAGCCAUUGGGCAGUCCGAUUCUGAGUGAUCUCCAAGUUUCUUGCCCACAAAAGGCAAACGGUGAUGCCCCAGACUCGGUUUCUUGGUUCCGUCUGAAAACGUCGAAGAAAGCCACAGUGGCCUAGAAAGGAACGACCGGACGCAGACAGGGGUCAGUCCUCGAAAGUUCACAUCUAGCCACUGGGCGGUCCGAUUCUGAGUGAUCUCGAAGUUGCUUGCCCACAAAAGCCGAACGAUGAUGCCCUAGACUCGGUUUGUUGGUUUCGUCUCAAAACGCCGAAGAAAGGGACAAUGGCCUAGAAAGGAACGGCCGAACUCAGAACGGGGUCCGUGGUCUCGAAAAUUCAUAUCUAACCACUGGGCGGUCCGAUUUUGAGUGAUCUUGAAUAUUCUUGCCCACAAAAGCCGAACGGUGAUGCCCCGAACUCGGUUUCUUGGUUUCGUCCCAAAAUGCCGAAGAAAGGCACAAUGACCUAGAAAGGAACGGCCGGACUCAGAACGGUGUCGGAGGCCUCGAAAGUUCACAUCUAACCACUGGACGGUCCGAUUCUGAGUGAUCUCAAAGUUUCUUGCCUACAAAAGCCGACGGUGAUGGCCCAUACUCGUUUCUUGGUUCCGUCUACAAACGCCGAAGAAAGGCACAAUGGCCUAGAAAGGAACGACCGAACUCAAAACGGGGUCCGAGGCCUCGAAAGUUCACAUCUAACCAGCGGGCGGUCCGUUUCUGAGUGAUCUCAAAGUUUCUUGCCCACAACAACCGAUCAGUGAUGCCCAGACUCCGUUUCUUGGUUCCGUCCCAAAACGCCAAAGAAAGGCACAAUGGCUUAGAAAGGAACGACCGGACUCAGACAGGGGUCGGAAACCUCGAAAGUUCACAUCUAGCCACUGGGCGGUCCGAUUCUUAGUGAUCUCGAAGUUUCUUACCACAAAAGGCGAACGGUGAUGCCCUAGACUCAGUUUCUUGGUUCCGUCCCAAAACGCCGGAGAAAGGCAUAAUGGCCUAGGAAGGAACGACCAGACUCAGAACGGGGUCGGAGGCCUCGAAAGUUCACAUCUAACCACUGGGCGGUCGUAUUCUGAGUGAUCUUGAAGUUUCUUGCCCACAAAAGGGGAAAGGUGAUGGCCCAGACUCGGUUUCUUGGUUCCGUCCCAAAACGCCGACGAAAGGCACAAUGGCCUAGAAAGGAACGACCGGACUCAGACAGGGGUCGGAGUCCUCAAAAGUUCACAUCUAGCCACUGGACGGUCUGAUUCUGAGUGAUCUCGAAGUUUCUUGCCCACAAAAGCUGAACGAUGAUGCCCUAGACUCAGUUUCUUGGUUCCGUCCCAAAACGUCGAAGAAAGGCACAAUGGCCUAGAAAGGAACGGCCGGACUCAAAACGGGGUUGGAGGCCUCGAAACUUCACAUCUAACCACUGGGCGGUCUGAUGCUGAGUGAUCUCAAAGUUUCUUGCCGACAAAAGCCGAACGGUGAUGCCCCAGACUCGGUUUCUUGGUUCCGUCCCAAAACGUCGAAGAAAGGCACAAUGACCUAGAAAGGAACGACCGGACUCAGAACGGGGUCGGAGGCCUCGAAAGUUCACAUCUAACCACUGGACGGUCCGAUUUGAGUGAUCUCGAAGAGUCUUGCCCACAAAAGCCGAACGGUGAUGCCCUUGACUCGGUUUCUUGGUUCCGUCCCAAUCGUUUCGACAUCUUUACUCAAUCGGAGGUAACUAUACAGACAGCACAAUUCAGAACUAUAGGUGAGUCCAAUAGUAGAGAAUCCCUUACCUUAUAACCUUACUUAAGCUUAUUUUUCAAACUAAAGUGCAACGAACCGACCUAAACAUAAUUGAAGAGAAAUCAAUCACUUCUACAAACAAUUUAAUCCAUUCAAUUCACUCUAUAUGUAAAUUCCAUAACUUACCCAAAUUGUGGAGAAUCAAAUUCUAACGGAGACGGAUCGGUGCAACAAAUAACCGAACAAUUCAAAUCUAAACAUACAUGGCGUGACGGAACCGGAGUGACUCGGUCUAACGGUGAUGCGACGAUAGGACAAAAUUUGCUUGACGUUCGGUGUAGGUGGAAGACGGUGAUGAAGUUGAUUGGAGAAUGAAAAGAGAAGGAAGAAAAGAGACGGUGGUGUGGCCGUAGGUUGAAGAGGAAGAGAAAGGAAGAAGAUGAAUAGGAAAAGAGAAAAAAUAAGAUUAAAUAUUAUAAAUAUAUAUAUAUAUAUAUAUGAAAUACAAAAAUAAAAGUAGAAUAACGAUGAAAUUUUGAAAAAUGAAAAUUUGGAUAAAGUAAAAUUUGAAAAUAAAGAUUUGAUACAAAUCCAAUAUUUGGAGGAAAAAAAAGUGUGUUAAGAUAAUGUAGGAGAAAAUCAAUAUUUAUGCUAAAAUUUUGCAUAUUUCAAAAUUAGUUACAGUUUAACUAAAAAGCAGGCGAGGAGAUUUUAGGGUUAAUGAAAAUUCAAAACACGUGAAAUGCUCAUGUUUGCUAUUCUUCUAAUAAAAUUUUGCUAUUUUCUCAAAUGAGUGUAAUCCAACAAAAUGAAGUUGUGUGUGUGUGAACAAAAAUGAGGUAAAUAGCUUUGAUGAUGAUGGCAAAUGGGUAAAGAAAAUCUUAUCUUAUUCUUCACUUUUCAUUUAAUUGACAAAAAGUAACCAACCAUAUGAAGGGAAAAACAAAAUGCUCUCUCAGUUACUUUACUCAUUUCUUUGUUCUUUGUGUGGGAGAUAUUUGAAAUGGAGAUGAAGAUCAAAAUGAAAGAGAGAUUAUGCAUACACUGUGAGAAGCACACAGAAAAAUUGAAAAUAAAUUGAGAAGAAGAGAGAGAUAAGCCUGAGGGAGAAAUAUUCAUGUAACGCCCCAAACUUGAAGGUAAAUUAUUUUGAGAGAAUUAUUUCGAUUUGUUCAAGAUUUUUUUUUUAAAUAUGUUGAAGGGGAGAAAGAAGAUUUGAAAAUGUAUUAAUAUAAUUAAAUAUGUAUAUGUAUUUAAUUAUAUUUUUAUUAUUAUAUUUAUUUUACAUUUUAUUAAAUAAAAGAAAAGAAAAUGAAAAUUUUAAAUAUAUAUAUAUAUUUAUUUUAUAUUUUUUAUUAUAUUUAUUUUAUAUAUUUUUUUAAAUAAAAAGAAAAGAAAAUGAAAAUUUCUUUUUUCCCUUUUCUUCUUCCGCCCAGCGCCGCGACCCUCCCUUCCGUUCUCCAUCUCCGUUCGCGAAGCAACCUUGCAGCAGUCGUCCCGCGUGACUCUCCGUUCGUCUGUUUCCGUCUCCAUUCACCGAAGCCGAACCCAACCGCCACCCUCUCUUUUCUCCUUCGGAUCGAAACCGCCGCGCCCAUCCACCUGUAACUGUCGUGCCUCCCCGCUCACAACCGUCGUCCAGAUCUGCAUCGCCGAGCCGUCCAGGUCCUCGCUGCCGCUCGUGCUUCACCCUUGCAGUUCGCAGUAACCCAGAUCCGUCGCUGCAACCGUCGGCCGGUUCGUGAAGCCCUGCCGCGCAACCUCUGUUUCCAGCCGCCGCCCAUUUCGUUCUCCUCUGUUUUCUGCACUGCCGCGCGACUCUCCGACCGCGUCUGUCUUCACCUCCGUGAAGCCGUCGAUGCAUACAUCUUGUGAAGCCCGGUCGCCGCGUCAGAUCGUCGAUCGAUUUUGAGGCAGCCGCCACGUCUCCUUUGGCCGACCGCUGACCGACCCACACUUAGGAUUUUUGCUGCGAGUUCGACAGUCGUGCGUUGAGGUGUUGGGAGUAACGUUGGGCUCCCUUAAAUUCACAACCAAUAUAUGAAUUGUUGAGGGUUCAGUUCGCCAAUACUUCGGUGAGUUGGAACUUACGUUGAGGAAAGUAAGUGAGAUAUGUAUCUUGAAAGUAAUCGAAUUUUUGUAUUGUAUUGCUUAGGAUUGUUUCGAGGACGUUAGUUGAUUAAGGAGCUUCCCUAACUUUGAGGUAAGGGAUUUUCUACUGGACUCACUUAUGAUUGUGAAUUGUAUGUCUGUAUGAUUGUCUCUGACUGAGUAAAGAUGUUGAGAUGAUAUAUAUAUAUAUACACGUAUGGAUGUAGAUUCGGUGUUGAAUGUAUACUGUGGAUUGACUGAAAAUAUAUAUAUACAUAUGGAUUGAAGUAGACUUAGUGUUGAAUGCAUAUUGUGAUUGUCUUGGAAUAUAUAUAUAUAUGUGUGUGGAUGUGGACAGGACGAAAAUUGUAGAUUGUGUUUGUAUGAGAUGCAGAUGUGAACUUGUGAUUGUCGUUUAGACUGGGUGUACGUUACGCUAAAGUAUGACUGUGUGCUGGUGAACUGAGGGGUGUAUUGACUGUAUAGUUUGAUUGACUGACGUAUUAGUAUGUUAUUGACAGACAUAUGACUAAAGUGAGAUAAGUUGACUGUUAGGACGUUGAGAGAAAGAACUUUAUAUUUUGAAGUAACUGAAAGAUGGAUUGAAUGGAAUGAGGGGAAAAUUGUUAGCUUUUAUUGGGAUGUGUGCCUUGUAGGUGUCCCACGGGAUCACCAAUUUAUUCUGCACCUUCGGAGCAUUAGACUGAUAUGUGUUUCUGCAGAACACUAGACUGAUAUGUACGUCCCUCGGGCGUUAGACUGAAAUGUGCAUCCUACGGGAUCACAAGACUGCGACUGUACAGGGUGUCCCAAUAGAAUGUUAACAAUUUAUUUUCCCCUGACGGGACCAGUAGAGGGUCUCUUACUGAGUAUUGUUAUACUCACCCUUCUUAUGUUUAAUUUUCAGGCAAAGGAAAUAAAGGUGGCAAAUCGGCGAGGGGCAGGAAGGAAGCGUGAUUGCCAUAGGAAACGUGUCAUUUUGCUUCCGCUUAUGGUUUCUUUUGAGGUUUAAGAUGUUGUAUUGAAAUUUAGUUUACAAACUUUUAUUUGUAAAUAGUAUUAUUUUUAAGUUUUUUUUUUAUAUUAGAAAAUCAGGCCUGACUUAAAGUUGUUUUUAAAUUGGCUUACGUUUCAUUUUGUAUCAACCAAAGUCUUUUGUCAAAAAUUAAUGACCUCGACUUACCUAGAAAAGUUGGGUCGUUACAAUUCAUUUCCUUUUCAAAGUGAAUUGCAAAGAAAUUUUCUCAAAUUGAAAAGAAAGGAGAAAUAUACAAAUUCAGCCACCGCUUCUUCUCCCUUCAGUUUGCAGUUUUCGUCUCCCUCUCUUCUAUUAUUAAAAUAAAUAAAUAAAAUAUCACAACCCGACUUAACACAAACUAUUUACUCCAACUUUUUAAACCACAAAUUUAAUUUCUCAACUUUUAAACUAUUUUAAACUUACAAAUCUACUUUAUUCAUUUCUUCAGAUUUAUAUCUAACAAAUAAAAAAAAAUCAAAAUUUAUAGACACUUAAAACAUAAAAUUGAAAGACCUAUUAAACAAUUGAAAGGUUUAAGAGGUAACUAGACAAACUUUAAAAGUUCUAAGGGAAAGAAUCUUUUGUUUAACUAUUACAGUAAUUAAUUUUGAAAAUAUGUUAUUUUAGAAAAACUACAAGUGUUUGACAACUCUUUGAAAGCUAUUGAAAUACUCUCAAAUUGUAUUUUAAGCAAUUUUAAUAAAAAGAAAGUCUACAUAAAAAAAUACCCUUUUUAAAGGAACAUUUUUUCUCUAAUCACUCCAAUGGAACUCAAACACGUACUUCAAGUUAAUUCUGGUAUCCAAGAAUCAGUCUCAUCCAACAUAAACAAGAACAUUCAACUUGAUAGAACUUCAUUACCUCAUAUUUACAAUUCCCAAAGUUACUAAAUGAAGGACCAUUCCUAAAACAUACUUACAUCCAACUUUCUCCAUGAAUAAACUUAUCGUCUUUUAUGUACUGAUGAAUAUAGAGAUGGAGCGAUCAGAGUUUGUUUAUGUACCAAAUUAGAGUGAGUUGAGAAAAGAGUGGAUUUACACAAGGACGAAAUGGCUGGCUGCUGCUUGUUCAAAAUUGAAAGUUAGGGUGACCUUGUUUCUCAUAGGGACUCAGCAAAUUGAGGGGCCUCCAAGUCUACUUCUUGUCUCAUUAUACAUGCCAUUAGCCAUUCAACGUUGAAAGUCCAUAUCCCUUUUUCUACGGCCACCAAGGCUUCCUCCACGUCUUCCUCACAAGCCACAAAGCUCGUCUUCCAUACGUUGUUUACUUUAUCUAGCUCAUGAAUCACCUAAAUUUUCAAGCAUAAUGAAUUUGCCAAAUGAGAGAAAAAAUUAUGUAUAUACUACAAGGAAAUUGCAAGUAUUCACCCUAUCAAAAAAUAUUAAACAAAUUCUUGUUCUAGUCCCUAAAAUUUUUCAUCUUUUCCCAACUUUCAAAAUGCUUCCUAUGAGAUAUAUUCCAAUCACAUAUAGCAGAAAUGACCGAUGAGUAUUGGAUAAAUGAAUAUUAAUUGAUAAAAUAAUUUACAAAAUACUAAAACCGUUAGUUGGCUACGUUUUGGAAGCUCGAUGACUAAAAUGGAUGUUUUGAAAGUUCUAAGGCUAAAAUGGAAUUUAAAUCAACAUAAUAGUAAGUUCAAGAUCAAAGACAAGCUAAACAAUAAAAUGUUGCGACCAGAAAACAAUCUAAUCAUAAUUAGAAACAUGGAUGUAUGUAUUUGUACACCAAAUCACAAAAAAUAACUCCAGAUUUCGAUCUAGAGACAAUUAAAAACUUGAACAAAUUUGAUAAUUAAAGAAACACGGAGAUGGCCAUAUGACCCCUUGUGCAUAGACUUUUUACAUUACAUGCUCAAUUCCUAGGAUCAAAACAAACAUAAAUAUUAAAGACUUAAAGAAGCACAUACACUCUAGUUUGGGUAGUGUAUCAAUAAACAAUAUGUAUGGAACACUCGGAGAACACGUGUUGAACACUAGUUAGUACAGUAGAUGUGUUAGACAACAAGUAUUCCAAUGCAAUAAAGGUCAAGAUUGGUCACACACACAUAUUAAACUCUUGGCUUUGAAUAAGUUUUGAGUGAAGGACAAGCUUAUUUUUAAGCAUAUAAAUACAUAAACUUAUUGACUUUGAAUUUCUAUAUAAAUAUGAUACAUACUUUUUAAAUUAUAUAUAUUAAAACUGUGUUCUAGCACUAUCCUAUAUUUUUAAGAAAAAAAUGACACGUCACCAUGUCUAUGAUUUAUUGACCCAUGUCUAGAAUUCGUAUACGUGCUUGUUUUUUGAGAACUUCACGUCUUCAUUAGAUGGGAGGAUAGCCAUAUUAUAGUGGUUGUAUAUGUAAUAUAGAGAACCAAACCUAGUACUCGAGAUUUGUACAAUAACAGAGAACUUACAUUUCCACCGGCUGACUUGACUAUCAGGGAUAGAGUUUUAGGUGGUGGUUGAGCGUGAGCUGAUAUGCAAACAUCAUACCCUUCAAAUAAAGCUCAAGAACAUGCUUUUGCCCUGAGAACUACAGCUUUUAGGCUGGCUCGAUACUUCGAUAUGUAGUCAUCAUCAUUUAGUAUGUAAGGCAACUCGUCUGCAGAUCCAUAAGGAAUUAAUCAAUCACAAAAAUUAGGUAGGAUGAAAAACAUAAGUGGAAGAAAAUACAUUACGCUUUGAUACUAGCAAGCCAUUCGAACUUACCAACAAAUCUGCCUUCCCGGUAGCUUUCCUUUAACCAACUGGAGGAGACAAUCCAAGCUCUGAGUAAUUUGCAAUUAACUUGCAAUUUUAGUAACAAGAUAUAGUAAAAAUUAUGAGCAAGAGCACACUGACACGCUUGAAGCCACAUGGUAAUGCAUAUGCUCGAUAAUCAUUGAGAACAUUAACAGGAGAAAAUAAAGUUAAGAACAGUAGCUUGAAGAACAAAAAACAUUCUACAACAUAAAAUCUUCAAAAACACAUUGCUUAAAAUCAAGUUUACUAAUAUAAAAGGUAAGAUAUUACGUUCCACUCUCCACACUACUGAAGUUCAACAUUUCACAUGAAAGAAAUGAAAUACUACUCUCAAAUAUAAAAAAAAAAGCAUAAAUGGGUAAAGAAAAAGCAUAGAGAAAUGCAAAAGAAUCCUUGGCUUUGAUAUAUUGAAAGGUAAAGAAUAUCAACCAUAGAUGCCCGGGAGAAGAACUCCUACAAAUACACACUUAACGCAGAUUAUCAUUCGCUAACAUGAGACCUUCUAGAGUUAUUCUGUUAGGAUACUUCCUAACAAGAACAAGUUCUUAAUUUAUUAUAAUGAACUAUAAGAAAAUACAAGAUAAAACCAAGUAUAAGGCACUUGGAACCUCCCUCUUGAGUACUCUCACCCAAGCCCUAGAUCACUCCCCAGAAUUCUCCCCUCACUUACCCUCCCUCCAUUUAUAAUAAGAUGUAACCACACUUACAUAAUAACUACUAGUAACUUUCUAAAUAUCCAAUUACCCUUAUACCCCUAACCUUAUACUAAUCUAGGUAUCUAACAUUACCCGAUCAUUCAAAACACCUUGUCCUCAAGGUGUGCUUACAAACAUGAUCAAGGCCCCUUUCUCUUUUUUUCUCUUUUUAAUUGCAAACAAUCCCAGCAUUCUGCUCUUCAAUGUUGAAAAAGAAAUCCUCCCCUUCGGCUUUGAAAAACUCUCGAUUCCAACAAGGUCCAUUGACUUCAGCCCACAAAGCAGCCCAAUGUACUUGAAUUUUCCUUUUCCAUAACACAUUGUCUUAGUUAACCCUUUGCAUAUCACCAACAAGUGUUUAAUUUUCAAACCCUUCAUCUCUAGUGGGCUAGGCCAUAAUCAAAUUGUUGCGUCAAGAUCAAAAUCAUACUGCCGGUUUCAUUCCUAGGACCCACCUACAUACACGUUUUUCUUCCCUCCUAUUUUUGGAACUCUCCACCCACUUCAUCUACAAAAUGAUGUUCCCCCAAUGUUUUAUUUAGAAUAGGUUGAAGCUUAUUUAGGGUAAGUUGAAGCCCACUUGAAAUAGUAAAACCCAAGAUUGUUCCUUUUGUCCUAAUCCUCUUUCCUACCAAUUUCUACCACGUCAUUGGCACCAUCAUGUGUGCAGCAACUUCUUCCUCGUCACGUGACCGGUAACUGUCGGCUUCUUCUUUCUCCAUUGCAACCAGCCAUUUUGUGUUUCUGUGAGCAACAAAUUUUUCUUCACUCGAGUCUUCAUUUCGAGCCUCACAGGUAAUCAUCAUCGACCUUCCUCUAUAGUUUCUUCUUGGUCACUCUUUGCCAUCCUCUUCACCUUCGUUGUAUAACCGUUGCAAUCGCGUUUUCCUCGAUUCUUCUAUGGAUUCAGCAACUUCUUGGAGUCCAUCGAUUUAUGGACCUGAAGAUUCCAAUCCAUUCUAAAUAAACACAAUCCAGAUCAGUGCCACUGAACACAGGCAUUUCAACCUUCUUGAAUUUGCUAUGAUCGUUUGAGUUUUCAUCCCUUUCAAACUUGUUUGUUUUACCUUCUACCUUGAUUUCCUUCAAUGUCUUACCUCCACCUUCGAUGAUACUCUCAAUCGUUGGUCCUUUGCUCGACGAUCCUUCCAUUCUUCCGGAGAUUGUCGAAUAAAAAGAACUUGACUUGGACCCUCUACUUCUCCCGAGCACGAAAGACGGCAGCCUCUACUUCUUUGGAAUAUUUUGUCCCCUUUCUCCCUCCUCUUUCCUCCCUUUUAUUUUGCUUUACUAACAAACUAAUGGGAAAGAUCUCCUCCGAUAUUCUCUCCUCCUAUAAUCUCUCCUAUAUUCUCGUGUGGGUCAAUAUUACCUUUUAAUUCUUCUACUGUAUUUAAAUAAUAUUGGAGACAUAUACUUCCUAACAAGAACAAGAUCUGAAUUUAUUAUAAUGUAACUAUAAGAAAAUACAAGAUAAAACCAAGUAUAAAGCACUUGGAACCCUCCCUCUUGAGUACUCUCACCCAAGCCUUAUAUCACUCCCCAGAAUUCUCCCCACUUACCCUCCCUCCAUUUAUAAUAACAUGUAACCACCCUAGUUACCACACUUACAUAAUAACUACUAGUAACCACACUUACACAAUAACUACUAGUAACUUUCUAAAUAUCUAAUUACCUUAUACCCCAACCCUAUACUAAUCUAGGUAUCUAACAAAUUCCAUAACAUAAUGUAUUAGGGGAAGAAGGAAAUCGAGGAUAAAAACACUAGCUAGCCAACAAAUAUCUUUCAUUAGUGAGCUUGAGCCAUUUUACACGUAAAAUGGGAAAAGUAAGCCUGCAACCCAAAUUAGCCUAAUGGUUGUCUUAACAACCACUACCCACCAUCACGAUAGAAACAACUGAAAAGGAAGAGCAUGAUACAAUCCAACUCAAACAUAAGAAUUGAUUUUGAUGUUUAACUAAAAGUAAACAGGCAGUAGAAUAAGAAACUAUGCCCUUUUAGAUUUAGAAGGUUCACAACAAUUUCCAGCCUAAGCACAACUACGAGGCAAUGGAAAAAUAACGGCAAAGGCCUUGUGUGCAUGGAAUUGCUAACUUUGGUGCAAAUGAGAUGAUUAUCGGUAUUCAAAGGCCAAAAGGACACAUAGAAGAGUGUUCGUCUAAGGUUGCAAGACUAACCCUAAAAAGAGAGCAAUACAAAAAUUUAGAGUUUUCCGCACUUUUCCUGUAAUGACAUGAGUGCUUGUACUCCCAUCAGCAGUGAGAGAACCACCAAGCUCCUCAAUCAUCUGAAUCAGAAAACAACUGCAUAUUAGAGCAGUCACAAUUUGGAAUAAAUAGAACUUUUUAUUGUUAGAAUCUUAGAAUAUUUAUGAAAAGUUUAUGGGAAUAUUUUUCUUAAUUCCUAAAUAUUUUCCUUUUUUAUUCCUCUGUAUAUUCUAUUUAUUCUCCCUUGUACCUAUUGUAUUUUUCAUCAGAAAAUAAUAAGAAGAAAAAUAUAGUGGUUUUUCUCCUGGUACACAGGUUUCCACGUAAAGUUUUGUGUUUGUUUGUCUCCCUUUCAAUAUGGUAUCCGAGCAGGUGGUCCAAGAAGGUCUUGUGUUCAAGCCUCGCAUUGUCGUUUCCUCCCCAAUUAAAAUCCAUUUCCAGUUGUUGGGCCUUUCAAAUAUUUCAAGCCCACAAGUGAGGAGAGUGUUGGUGAUAUAUAAUUGAAUUUUCUUUCUUUUUUUAAAAAAGGAUACGAGUCUCACUAUUAUUAAUAUAAAGAAAGACACAAAGCUCAAUGUACAUGAGGAUUAUACACAGAGCAAAAGAGGAGAGGGAAGAUCAACAGGCGCAUCCGGGCAUCUCAAACUAGGUUGACACCCCCUUAGUGCCCUCAAAACAUCCAAAAAGCGACAACACAAGAUCAAAACAAAAAGCCACAAAAACAAAGACAAACAAAAUGAUAAAAAGAAUCUUUCCAAAGAAAAAUCAUAAUCAAAGGCAGCAUGCUGAGAACAAAGAAGAAUAAGCCUUGAUUGGUUGAGCAAAAACUGUUUGAAGCAGAGGGCUGAUCCGAAAGUCCUGAUCAUCAAAGACUUCAAAAUGGGGAUGCUGUAAAGGCUGGCCAAUAUAACACAAUAUCCUACAUCGAAGAUCUUCUUUUGCAUUACAUUUUCUAAAAUUUCCAAUCCACUCUGUUAAAGGCCUUUUCAAGGUAUAAUUUAAUGAUCCAUCUUUUCUUUUUUCGGAUACUAUAGACCUCCAUAGUUUCUUUUGCUAUUAAAAUAGGAUCCAAGAUUUGGCACUCUUCCAGAAAGCCACAUUGUAAUGGAGAAGUAUGUUAGGAUUCUAACAAUAAAACACAAAAUAUCCUAACCAAAUGGCUAAAUAGAGGCAGCACUCUGUAAAUCUUUAUUUAUGUAAAAGCCAAAACACAUUCAACAGUAGUAGAUAUGAAAAAUAAAGGAAGAACAACAUAGAAAACUUACCCAGCUUCUUUAUACGGGGCUGGAUACCCUCAGGCUACAGCAGCCUUUACUCUCCUUGAAAUAACCAAAAAAGACCUAGCCUCCCCUACCCCAACAUUACAUAUUUAUACCUCUCUCUCUCAUCCCUCCUGGCAGGCCCCACCUGCACGAUCCUCUCCCAUUAUUCUCUCAUCAUUGGUUGCUAAGGAAUUUCUCUUUCUACCCUUCCUUUUAUAGGUAUAGAUAAUAGGAGGUCUUACAAAGUAAUACCUGGCCUGACUUUCUUUAAUCUUUCUGCGAGAACCUUUCCAAACAACUUAUAAAUUAAUGUUGAAACAACUUAUGAGCCACACUGUAAUGACCUUCCUUCUCUUGACCGAACUUCAAUAAUCGACAACUUAUAUUUAUCCACAUAAUCAGCAAAACUCUUAAUUUGCCACUAGCUUCAAACAAAGACCCAGCCAAUUCCUUUUGAACUCCAUAGUGCCUUUAUAAUACAACUGGCAAUCUCUUCUCUUUUGGUCUCCGGAAUCAAUGCUCUAUCUGGAUUAGCUUUCUUCAAAAUAUUUUUAAUAGCCAAUUGUUUCGAAUAGCCCAUGAAUCCUCUAGUGUUCCAUGAUAUAAUCUCCAUCUUUGCUACCUCUGCCUUAUAUCAAUUCAAUUUCACAUGCUGCCAAGAAAGGAACCAACUCUUGAGGGGGAAGGAUACUUACACUGGUGACUGAUUCAACUUCCAUGAAUUCAUCUUCUAGGUUCUCAACUUUUUUUAGACAAGAAGUAUCUUGCACAAAAUUAAAGAAUGAACCAGAAAGUUUGGAGGAGGAUUGAGAAAAUUUAUUACUUAAGGAGGAAGGCAGUACUGACCUUUUGCCAACUGAAUUUGGAAUUUGUAUCUUCACACAACUUUCCUCUAAUAAAUCAGAAUUAGCCAAGCUCAUCCAAAUGUUGCGAAAAGAAGUUCUCCCUUUGGUAUAGGUCUUGAGGUGCUUAGAAAAAUUUCUGGCAUGAAAUGGAAUAGCUUUCAUUGCAGAUGAUAUUUUAGUCUUGGGAGAGGCUGGUAAUUUUGGUUGAGAACUGAAAACAGGAGAUGGCCCGCAAGUGAAGUUCCUUGAUGGAGGAGAGGACUCUGAUUCUUCCUCCAAUUCGUCAGAAUACCAAAAGCCAUUGGAAUUCUGAUUAAUAAAAUUCUUGGGGCCUACCAUCUGUGUGUCAGCUUUUAAAAUGUCUGCAGAUACAUUAAGUUUGAAACAAUCUGGUUGGGGAGGGCUAGGUGAGCUGUUUUUUGAGAUAAUAAAAUGUCGGCUGGCUGCCUUUUCUUCUUUCGAGGUCUGUUUUUCUCUCUUUUCUGUUGAAGUCUUUUCCCCUUCUAAGUACGUGGAGAUGCCAACUAUACCCAAAUUUGAAUUUUGCCUUCUGAAAAUUAUUUUUUCCGGUGAGGAUUCAAGGGCUGAAACUCUUUCCGGUCGAACAAGGUUUUCUUCUUCAUCACCCAACUUCCUAAGUGCUUCGAAAGGAUUUCUUGAGAUGGAUGGGGCAUUCUGUUUGAGAAAAUUCAGGUAUCUGGGAGACCAUCACUUUGGAGCCCUUCAUCUAAAAUCACUGAAUUUAUUCUACAUAAAUCAAUAGGAUUGGAAAAAUCACUUUGAAAUAGAUCAGAUUGGAUUAUUACAGGAGCUUCUAUGGGUUCAAAAUCCCCAAAAUUAAGGGAAAAAUUUCCUCAGUUCUCACUCUUUAAUUCUAUAGUUGCAGAAUCCGCAAAGAUUUUUCCGAACUUUAAUUCUUGCUUCAGAGAACUUGAUCAGAUUGAGUGUUUCUAAGAUUAUACUUUCUAGUCCACCAAAGUAGCUUAAGGCUAUAAUUGAAUUUUCUUUCAACCACCAGCUUAAACUUUUUGGUGAAUCGGUAGUUUAAUAUUUAUAUUAAUAUUUUAUAAAAAAAGUAUACAGCUAAUGCCAUAUAAAAUAAAUAAAGAAAUACUAUAAAAUCUACAUCCAUAAAAUAUGCAUGUGAACACAUAUCAGAAGAUGGAUAUUCGUAAGUUAGAAAGACCGAUAACAAAAUGUCAUAAUUAAACAACAGCAUUAAUAUUAUGGGUAGUUUCAAGCUUCAUUUGUCUAUUCUAGGUAGGGAUAUUGAAUAACUCUUAAGAAUAAUAUAAAGAUUGAAUCCCUAAACUUCAGGUGCUUGCUAGUAUACAACCUAAAAGUUCAACAGUUAAAGAAACUGAUUAAUCAUUUUUGGCAGGAUGUCAGAUUCGCCUUUUGAAAGCCUACAUGAGUAGAGCCAGCCAAAUAAGCCAAGCAAGAUAUGCCUCUUAAGGAAUAUGGAGAAGUUCAGUGACUGGGUAUGUAUAUGAUAAGCCUUAACCUCAAUUUUAUUUAUCAAUAAUGGAGGGAAGGAAUCAGAAGCUUCUCUAGCUCUUCAGAAUUGAGGUCCUCUGAUGCCACAUUUACACUUCCAAAUUCUUGACAAAAAUUUUGUGUACACUGAUUGGUUGGAUUUUUAGGAUAAAUACUUGAUAAAAUUUCAUGCUUUGAAUUGGCUAAAGAGCAUCCUUGAGAGCAGGUAUCGUAUACAUCACUUUUAGGAUCAAGAUUUUUGUUAGAGUGGGAAUGGAAAUGGUCCAGAUUGACUCCUUUUACUUUCUUUGACGUCAGGGAAGAAAGUGAUGCUUCCCAAACUCUCUUUGCGCUAUGUUUAGAGCAAGAACAAUGUGUCUCAUCCAAAUUACCAAGAGUAUUGGAUAAUUUUGCAAUACUAGCUGUCGUGUUGUUCUCUAUUUCUGCUAAAGAAACUGGACCGUUGCUGUCAUGCACUGCAUCCUGGUUUAAAUAAACCGUUAUGAGAUAAUUAAGCAACAUAUGGAGAAUAAUUUAAAUUGUACUAUCUUGUGGAACAAAACCUGAAUUACACAUACCCUGAAUUUCAUUUUCUUCUCCAAGGGGCACUAAAGUUACAAACUCGUCAUGUUGAAAAUUCAAAUUUUGAAUGGUAUGCUGAUCAGUUGCAUUUGAAACGUUGCAACCUCGAUUGGCAACACUGAUUCUUGCAGCAUACGGGGCUUCAGGCUUUAGUAGAAUGUGCGAAAUCCAUGGAUUUUAUUACACAUCCCAAAGGUGAACGACUUUGAGGCAUCUUGGUUAUAAUCAAUUGGUUCUCGAAGUACGCCACCUUCAUCCCCACUACAAAACUAUGUUCUGUCGAGCUGAUAGCACACUUGUUCUUUAAGAACGUCUUGAAGUUAUGGGGAGUUCCAUCAAGCAUUGUGAGUGACAGGGAUGGUAGAUUCAUUGGUACUCUCUGGACCGAACUAUUCGCCUUCUUGGGGACACGCCUAAAUAUAUCCUUAAGCUGCCAUCCUCAGACGAAUGGCCAAACUGAAGGAUUCAAUUGUAUGCUUAAGGAAUAUCUACUACAUUUUGUUGAUUUUGGACAAAAGAAUUGGGCCUAGUUGAUGGAUGUGGCUCAAGUUUUGAGCGGAAGACCAACUCUUCAUAGAGUUUAAAGCAAAGCAAAUUUGAUUUAGAGGACAUCAACAUCAGCAUCUCACCAGAAAAUACGAAGGGCCUGUUGAAGUUCUGAAGAAAAUUGGAAAUUCAUCCUAUAGGGUAUCGUUGCCUGCAUGGAUAAAAAAUCAUCUAGUAGCUCAUGUGAGCAACUUGAAACCUUACCAUCAAGAUCCAGAUGACCAGUAGUGCAACAAUGGUGUAUGGUCAUCUAGUGACCUAAAGCAGAAAGACAAUAAAGAAAUGGAAGAAAUCCUUCCUAAGAGAGUGAGGAAGGGUAUACCCAUGAAGAAGAUACAUGAAUUCCUACUGAAGUGAAAGAACCUCCAUGUGGAAGAAACACGUUAGGAAUGUGCUGAAGACCUUGGAGCGUGAAAGAAGAAGAUCGAGGAAUUCUAGCUUCGCCAAUCGACAGGGACGUCAAUUGUUUAAGUGGGGAAGAAUGUAACAAGCAUGCUUGUCCAGGGCGCUGUUUACUUAUGGCCGCAUGCCCAAACACCCCCAAUUUACAUUGUUUUCAUGUUUUGUAUUUAGUUUUACUUUUUGCUUUCCUUUUUAUGUCAUAAACCUUGGGUGUGACUUGGCUUUUUCUUAUGCAAGCCUACCAGAACUAAAAAAGUCUAAAGUGUACUAUAGAUGGGACAUAGUAGUUGAAUCCCUGCCCAAGCCUUGUUGCACUCUUCGCAAUCAAAGUUUUUCUUUGCAAUUGACAGUCUUCAAUGCUUGCUUUAACGAUAUUUUCAUUGAAUUUCUUUCUUCUCACGUUUUAUAAAACAUUUUCUCAAGAACCUGAAGAGAGGCUACAUCGUAUCAUGUGUUUGUCUGUGGUUUUUGGAUUUUGAUCAGCUAACUUGUUGUCUACGUAAAACAAGUGCAACAUAAUCGCGCCUCUCGUGUUUGAAAGCUCGCGAUUGUGACACAAGAAAUGCACUAGCCAAGAAUGCACAUGAGGAGGGCUAUACGAAAUGCCAAGCACGCAACCAAGUGAGGUUCACAAUGUGCUUGUGUGUGAGGUUAGCACGCGGGCAUGCCCAACACGCAUGAAAAGCCUCUUGUGAGAUCACACACAGUAGCCAGCGCCCAACCAAGGCCCUGCCACCCACCCAUUCGUGUCAGGCAGUGUCAUAUUGCGUGUUGAGCUAUUGGUAAUUUUUUGAGUUUUUUAAGUAUACUUUUGAUAUUUUCUUGGCAAAAGAUAAUUAAUUGUACUAUUUUACCAUUAUUUCAAGACAUGAGAAGAUCAUACAAAUUUAUAAACCAAGGAUUUCAAGCGUGUUAUUGUUUAAAGGUAUUUAUUCUAGCAUAUUGUUUACUCUUCAAAAUGAAUAAUAUUCAAAAUGUUUUCCCACUUUCUAGGUAGAGAUCGUGUCCUUUAAGCCUAACUUGCUGCUACCUGUCUACUGAAGGAUUUCAUUUUGUUAUCGUAUGUGUCCUGUUAUUUUGUACUAAUGAUAAAUUAGUCUUUUGUGCUAUCAGACAUAGGCUUUUGGGAAGGUUUUAUAAGGUUUUGUUCUAGAUAAAUAAGAUUACGUUUUUUCUAUAUAAAACUUGUCUAAGGUUGUUAAAUGAAAAAGGUUUAGCCCAAUUGGUUUUAGUAAAAUUUAUGUGUUAUGUUUCUGCUAUUGUUUAGAGUUUAAACGUUCAAGCUAAGGGUCAAAUGGUGUCGUUCUUGACGUGGGUGCUAUCGAUUGGCUUCACGCCAUAUCUCGAGCCACGCAAGUAGGUGCUCAUGGUGGGGUGUGAUAGCCUAAGUUGGCUUAUUAACGGUUAAAAUGUAAACAUGUCCAUAACAAAAUAGUCGGGCAAGGCCCAUGUGGACCGACUGGUAAAGGUUGAAGAGCAAAUGCUCUACCUAAUGAAAGUUCCUAACUCAAUUCGCUUCUUGGAAACCCGCCUUGAAGAAAUUUUAUAGAAAGCUGAUGCUAUUAAUUAAACCACCACCCAAAAUCUUAAGCUAGUGAUUAAAAGUAAAUUUAAUUAUAUAUCACUAACAAUCUCCCACUUAUGGGUUCGAAAUAUCUAAAAGGUCCAACAAGUGAACAUCAAUUUUAAUUGGGAAGGAAACACCAAUACAGGGACUUGAACAUAAGACCUUUUGGACCACCUGCUCUAAUACCAUAUUAAACCCCAAAUUCACCCAAAAGCUUAAGCUAGUGGUUGAAGGUAAAUUUAAUUAUAUAUUACCAAAGUAUGAGGUUUCAUCACAAUACCAAUUGGCAAUGAGAGAAGUAGCUCAUCUAUUUUAUAAGGAGUCUAAGUUUCCUUGGUUUUUCAAUUGUGGGAACAUGCCCCUUCAAGAUGGUGCCUCUUUGGUUUCACCUAUCUUGAACCAAAUAUCCGUUUAGGCUUAAUGAGCUCUAAUACCAUAUUGAAAGCAAUAUAUACGAAACCAAAGCUUACGUGAAAACGUAAGAAUCGAAAGAAAAGCAUUGUGUUUGUACUUUUAUUAUUUUUAUGAUAAUUACAGAUGUACAAUUGGUGGUUUAAUAUAUAUCACUAACACUAUUGCUGCAAUGAUCGAUCAUCUCGAUGGAUUACCCAUUUAAGAGUUGUUGACAAGAGUUGACACUCUAGAAUCAAAAGUUGUAAGAACUAGAUGUUGUAAUAAAUGUCCUAAAACUCGUUGUAAUCAUAAUCUAUUCAUUAAUGUCGUUAUUGAUACUAUAAUCUUAAAGCCAAUAAACUAAGGACCCGAAGUUAUUAUUAAGUAAACUUGAACUUUAUGUAGAGACAUAAAAGUUGAUCAAGUUUAAGUAUAGAGCCUAAAUAGUAUAAACGAUGUGAUCCUAAAUCCUAGAGACAUGAAAGUGUAGACAUCCUAUGUAAAAAGUUUACAAAAGACUAGAACCAUGAAAUAGUCACUUUUAAGUUAUAAUAUCGUUAACUUUGAAAAACUUACUAUUUCAUUGAUAGAUAUCAAAUAUAACUUAAUCUUAAUACUGAGCUAACUAUAAGCUUCUGUUCUCACUAGCAUGCUUGUUUAAGGCGUUGUUUAUCUAUGGCCACAUGCCCAAAUACCCCCAAAUCACCUUUUCUUUAUGUCUUGUAUUUAGUUUAGUCUAUUGCUUUCCUUUUUAUGUCAUAGACCUAGGGUGUGAGGUGUCACACAUUUUCAUUUGCAAACCUGUCAAAGCUCAAAAGGUCUAAAUUGUACUAUAGGAGAGACCCAAUAGUUGAAUCCCCAAGCAUGUCUUAUCGUAUUCUUUAUAAUCAAAUUUUUAUUUGCCAUUGAAAGUCUUCAACGCAUUCUUUAAUGAUGUUUUUAAUGAUAUUCUCUCUCACAUUUUAUAAAACAAUUUUUUCAAGAACGGGAAGGGAGGUUAUAUCAUAUCGUGAGUUUGUUCGUGAUUUUCAGAUUUUACAUGACUGACUUAUUGACUGAGCAAAACAAGUGUUCUACAAUUGCCCGUUCCAUGUUUGAAAGAUUGCGAUUGUGGCACGCAGAGUGUCACAAGUGUGCUUGUCCAAGGCAUUAUUUUCCUAUGGUCGCAUGCUCGAAUAUCCUCAAACCAUUUUAUCUUUAUGCUUUGUACUUAGUUUAGUCAACUGCUUUCUUUUUGUUGUCACCGACCUAAGGUGCGUCGUUUCGCAAUUUUCAUAUGCAAGGUUGUCAAAGCUAAAAAAGUUUAAGAUGUAUUGUAGGGGAGGCAUGGUAAUUGAAUCCCCAACUAAGUCCUGUUGUGAUUUUUGCAAAUCUAAGCUUUCUUUGCAAUUGACAAUAUUCAAUUUUUUCUUUAAGGAUGUUAUCAUUGUUUUUCUUUAUCUCUCACGUUUUAUAAAACCAAUUUCUCUCAAAAGAUGAAGCGAGGCUACAUCGUACAACAAGUUUGUCCACAACUUUCAAAUUUCACAAGGUUGCCUUGUUCAUCAAUUUAGAACAAGUGUUGCACAGUCACCCGUCCCGUAUUUGAAAAGUUGCAUUUUGUGACAAGUGGUAUUAAAGCUUUGUUAACUCCUUGGCUAAGCGAGAUGCAAUUAUGUCGACAAUGAAACAACUAUCGAAGUUGCAAUCUGAGCGACUGACUGAGAUUGAAGAGGAAUUCUUGGAUAUGAAAGAAUUGCCAAACGAAGUAAGAUUUCUCCAGACCGAACUUGAGAUGUUUAAAGAAAAAGUCAGAGAACUAGACGCAUUGAAUGCCUAAAUAGACAAACUACCCAUAAAUGAAUUGGCGCUGAGGGUUGAUUCGUUAUAACAUAAAACCACCAAAGUAGGUAGUUUUGAACGUGGAAGUAGCUCUUCAAGUUCUAUCGCACAAAUGGAAGAGCGUGUCGAAGAGUUUGAGUUUUGACAAGCUCCAACAUAAUGAGUUAUAUUUCAAGAAAGAGAAAAGUGUUUUUGCCAAAUAGCGUAUCAAUUUUCUGGGUCACAUCAUCGAAUGUAGAAAGAUUUGAAUGGACGAACAUAAGUUGUGAGCUAUUAAGGAGUGGAGAGCCCCCACUUCCUUGAAAGAGUUACGUUUCAUCCUUCAAUAUAUUCUAAAAUAGGGUUCACCUACUAUCCUCAAGAUUCAGUACCGGGAGAAAGAAAUAGAUGGAAAAAGAAAUGGGCUUGGUAAUUUUUUUUUCUAUGUAAAUAAGAAAAAGAAAUCCAAUUUGGUACAAGAGCCCAAAUUCAAUAGCCAGCCCAUCAAAUGAGGUCAACGACCCUAUUUAUAAGGAUUUUCCAUGCAAAAUUGCAUGUCCAUGGAAUACUAAAGCCCAACAACUCAAAGCUCUAUUUCUAAUAUGAAAUUCGAUGGCUAUAACACAUAUACUUGUCAGUUUCUCUCUCUUUUCCCAAUUCGAACAAUUCGACUUAUUCCAUCACACUGUUUUAAGUUUAUUCCAUAUGAGCUAGCAAGGGAAACUAAUGGACCUAUAUAUCAUGGACUCCAAUGAUUCAAGAUUAAUUGACAAAAUUCUUAUAGACUGAGUUAAUCCACAUUCGUUAACUAACGAGUCAUUCAUGUAUGUACUGGAACGAUUCAGAAUCAUCUCGUUUGUACUAACUACAAAGUGGGCGGCAUCCACAGUUUCUCUGAAAAAAUCUGGGUUACUACAACGUCACCACGAUAUACAAUUUUCCUAAUAAAAUGGUACUUACGUUCGAUAUGUUUUCCCCGUUUACGGCUUCUAGGUUCUCUUGAAUUUGCAACUGCACCACUGUUGUGACAGUAUAAAGUGAUUGAUAGAUGCAUAUUUGGAACGACUUCCAGAUUUGUCAAGAAUUUUCUUAGCCAUAAUGCUUCUGUUGUUGCUUCAAAAGUUGCUGUAUUCUACCUCCAUUUUGGAAUCAACUAUACAAGUUUGUUUUAUGCUUCUCCAAACUACUACUCUUCUAUUUAGAGUGAAUACUAAUCCUGAUGUAGACUUUCUAGCAUCUUUAUCAGUUUGAAAAUCAUAAUGAGUGUAUCCAGUAAGGAUCAAAUCUUUUGUACCAUACACGAGAAUGUAGUGUUUUGUUCUUCAAAGAUAUUUUAGAACAUUCUUAACUGUUGUCCAGUGAUCACGUCCAAGAUUGGACUGAUAUCUACUGACCAUCCCUACUAAGUAGAAAAUGUCAGAUCUAGUACACAACAUUGCAUAUAUCAAACUUCCAACAGCAGAAGCAAUGGAAAUUUUUCUCAUAUCCUCAAUUUCUUGAGGUGUCUUAGGACAUUGUUCCUUUGACAAAUGAAUUCCGUAGAUGUAUAAUAGCAUACCCUUUUUGGAAUUCUACAUUUUAUAUCUAGACAACAUUUUGUCUAUAUAAGAUGCUUGAGACAUGGCUAGUGUUUUGUUCUUGCAGUUCUGUACAAUUUGGAUCUUAAGAAUGUAUUGUGCAUUUCCCAGAACUUUCAUUUGAAAUUGCAUAGCUAGCCAUUUCUUGAUAUUAGUAUGAAAUCCUAUGUCCUUUUUCAAUAAGUAGAAUAUCAUCUACAUACAAGACUAAGAAUACUACAAUGGAAUUGACGACCUUUUUUGUAAACAUAAGGUUCGUCAACCUUUUGUAUCAAAGCCAUAAGAUUUGAUCAUAGUAUCAAAUCUUAUAUUCCAGGAUCUAGAUGUUUGUUUUAAUCCAUAAAUGGAUUUUUGAAUCUUACAAACCUUUUGUUAUUGAUCUUGAUCUAUAAACUCCUCUAAUUGAGUAAUAUAGAUACUCUCUUCAAGAUUGUCAUUCAAAAAAAGUUGUCUUGACAUCCAUCUGCCAAAUUUCAUAAUCAUAAAACGUGUCGAUGCAUAAGACUAUUCUAAUUCACUUUAGCAUGGCAACGAUAGAGAAAGUUUCUUCAUACUCUAUGUAAGAAAGAGACAUGCAUAGUGGAAAAAUGGAAUACAAAAUUACCCUAAUUGCACCUAUUUAACUUGCAACCCUAAAUUAAAAGAAUUAGGGUUUAGGAAAUAUUAUACCUUUGUAUCUAUUCGAAUAUGAACGUCUAUACCUCUCACAAAAUUCCAAAAGUUUUUGAAACCAAAAUGUAACACCUUAAACUUAGGAUUUGGAAUUCGUAUCUCCAACAUUCUCUACAUCCUCUGCGACCUGGCAGCAUCAUCCUUACUAUUCUUAAAAACUUAUUAAUUCGAACAAUGUUGGUAUAAGUAUUAAGUUUCACAUUGUUGGUAUAAGUAUUAAGUUUUAAUUCUUUUCAGUCUUUCUUAACAUGACUUUCAUGUCCUCAAGGUGCACCUUGUCGGUAUACUUGUUGAUUUUUCUCUCUUCUCUCAAUUCAAACAAUUCGACUUAAUCCAUCACAAUGUUCUAAGUUUAUUCCAUAUGAACUAGCAGGGAAACCUAAUGGACUUAUAUAUCAUGGGCUCCAACUAUUCAAGAUUAACUGGUUAAACUCUUUUAGACCGAGUUAAUCAACAUUCGUAAACUAAACGGUCAUUCCACUAAAGUCUCGCAGUUGCACUCCCCUCACUAUAGAUAUAUUCUUGUCCAUUUAAUAUAACCAUGAUCAAUAAGUUAAUCCUUCACAUGUUAUUCGUAACCUCGAAUGGAUCAAAUUACUGUUUUAUCCUUGAGACUACAUCUUAUUUCUUAAGUCUCAUUGAUCCACUAUUGAACAAUUGGUUUAAGGUCCAACCUAUAAACUUAAUCCCUCUCGGGCUAAUGUGAGGGUGGGGCCCCUUGUUCAAGACUUGGAUUCAGUGCUUAAGAGAACAACCUAUCUACUAACCGUAAAACAGGUAGAAGUGAAUUUUGUCUUGCAUCCUAUGUUCCCAGCCAUUCAUCUGAUCUUACCCUUGAAAUAGGAGGCUUAUUGGGAGAACGUUGAUGAGAUACCCUCACCUAUGCAGAUGUAACCCUAAAACAAGUAGAAGUGAAUUCAGUCUUAUGUAAGUACUUUACAGUGCUUAAGAGAACAACCUAUCUACUAACCCUAAAACAGGUAGAAGUGAAUUCUGUCUUGCAUCCUAUGUUCCCAGCCAUUCAUCCGAUCUUACCCUUGAAAUGAGAGGCUUAUUGGGAGAACGUUGAUGAGAUACCCUCACCUAUGCAAAUGUAAGGAUAAUCUCAUGUGAACUGGAGUUCAUAGUUAGCUUAGGAUUAAGAUUAAGCUACCUAAGUCAUCAAUAAACGAAAUAGUCAGUUCUAAACAGUAAACGGUGUUAUAACGUAAAAGUGACUAUUUCAUGGAUCAGUCUUAUGUAAGUACUUUACAUAGGAUGCCCCCACUUUCAUGUCUCUACAUGAACAAUUUAGGAUCACCUCGUUUGUACUAAUUACAAAGCGGGUCACAUCCGUAGUUUCUCUAAAUAAGGCACUAUAGACUAUUUAGGCUAUACACUCGAACUUGAUCCGCAUUUAUGUCUCGACAUAAAGUUCAAAUGUAUUAAAAAAUAGCAUUAAGACUUAGUUUAUUGGAUUUAAGAUUAUAAUUUUAAAUUUUUCAAUAACGAUUUUAUUGAACUGAAUAUGAUAACAAACUACGAGUUUUAGGACAUAAAAUCCCAACAUAUGUAUUUUUGCCUCUAAUAAUAAUGUUGAAAGAUGUUUGUUGUGGUUUCAUAUGGGUGAUAUCUCUUCUGGUUGGACAUAGUCAGGUUUUGUAAUGGGUGACUUUAACGCUAUCAAAAUGCAUUUUGAGGCUUUUGAUAGGUCUUCUGUUCCUAUGGAUAUGGAGGAGUUCGAUAUGGCUAUUUGCGAGGCUUAUUUAGUUGAACCUACAGUACAGGGUAACUGGUUCACCUGGACUAGAAAGGUUCAUGGGUUUGGUUUGAUAAAACGGUUUAAUCGUAUUCUGGUUAAUGGUGUUGGAUUACUGCAUGGCCUUCGGGUAUUUCUGAUCACUCCCCUUUAUUUUAUCCCAACUUUUAGCAGAGACAGUGGGUAGUUUCUUUUUGUUUCUUCAACCAUUGGGUUGAGGAUUCUUUGUUUAUUGAUGUUGUCUCUUCGAUUUGGAGUCGCCAUGUAGGAGUUUCUCUGAUUGUGAGUUUCGUGAGAAAUUUACAUAACCACAAGCCUACCCUCCAUAGACAGUUUGGUAAGCACAUUUAGAGCCUAAGUGAGGAGGUUCGUAUUGCUAAAGAGUCCAUGGAUAAAGCUCAGAGAAAGGUUGGGCAAAAUCCUAUGUCUGAUGUUUUGAGUCGCCAAGCAGGUCUUGCCAUUUUGGCCUUUUGGACGGCUGUUAGAUUGGAGGAAGCCUUCAUGUGUUAGAAGUCCAAGAGGUUUGUGAGUUGCCUUAGAACUUGUGUUACCUCCUCGAUGUUCUCCAUUAUGAUUAAUGGCUCUUUCAAGGGUUUUUUAAUGGGAGGAAAGGUUUGCGGUAGGGUGAUCCUUUAUCUCCUUUCCUUUUUAUCAUGGUGAUGGAGGUCCUCUCUCGUAUGUUGAAUCGGCCUCCUCCGAGCUAUCAGUUUCACAGGCAUUGUGAGAAGGUUAGCUUAACUCAUCUGACCUUUGCUAAUGAUCUUAUGAUUUUUUAUGCUGCUGAUGAUUCCUAUCUGAGUUUUAUUAACGAGACUAUUCGAAAGUUUGGUGAUCUCUCGGGGCUAUUUACUAAUCUUAGUAAAAUUUCUAUGUUUGUUGUAGGGGUUAAUAGUGAUGAUGUUUAUCGUUUGACUACCAGUUUGGGUUUUGUCCUCAGGCAUCUCCCUGUUCGUUAUCUUGGGCUUCCUUUACUUUCUUGGGAGGUUACGACCUACUGAUUGUGCUCUCUUAUUCAACGUAUUACUAGUCAGAUUCAUUCUUGGUUUGCUAGAGUUUUAUCAUUUGCAGGUAGAUUGCAACUGGUUCGAUAUGUGCUUGAUAAUCUUCAGGUUUACUAGGCUAACGUGUUUGUGCUGCCUGUGAGUGUGCAUCAUGAGGUUGAUAAAAUCUUGAGGUCUUAUCUUUGGAGGGGUAAGGAGGAAGGUAGAGGAGGUGUUAAGGUGGCGUGGGCUGAGGUGUGUUCCUUUUGAGGAGGGUGGUCUUACUAUUCUUGAUGGGUCUUCUUAGAAUGUUGUGAGUACUAUGAAGAAUCUUUGGUUGUUGCUGACUAGUUCGAGUUUUCUAUGGGUUGCUUGGGUGGAGGCUUAUAUUCAUAAAGGAAGGUCAUUGUGGGAGGUCGAUUCUUGUGUUGGUCGGUCUUGGUGUCUUUGCGCUAUCAUGUGUAAACGAGAUAGUCUAAAAGAGCAUGUUCAGAUGGAGGUUGAGGAUGGUAGGCAUUGUAAACUGUGCCAGGAUCCGUGGUUGCAGGGUGGUCCUAUCCUUCAACACGUUGGUGAGAGAGCGCUUUAUAAUGUAACGAGUAGAUAGGAGCCUAGGCUCUCUAAGUUUAUUGGUUCGAAAGGGGAGUGGAGGUGGUCGAGGGUGUCUUUGGAUUUGAUUAAUUUAUGGGAUAGGGUUCAAGUUGUAAGUUCGUGUCCUAAUGUUGGUGAUAGGUGGGUUUGGGUUCUUGGUCGUCAUAGUGGUUUUUUGAUUGCUAGUGCAUGGGAUACUAUUCAUUCUCGUAGUGUUAAGGUUCGUUGGACAGGUUUCUUGUGGGGUGGGGAUUGAGAGUCUCGUUAUCAUUUGUUUUUUCAUGUCCUUUUGGGUGUGAUAUUUAGUCUCGGGUCCUUUAGGUUAUGGCUUCCUCUCACAGGAUUGGGUAUUGGGGGGUUGAGUUGUUUGGGGUUUGUCAUUAGAGUAUUGGUAAGGGUGUGAGAAGGAAGUUGUGGUAUGUUCUCUGGUGUGCUACGAUUUAUUUUAUGUGAAAGGAGCAUAAUCAUUGUCUCCAUGGUGGUCAAGCUCGUUUGCUCAUUGUUCUGUUUCAGCUUAUUCCAUAUUGUAUCAGUGCUCGUGUUGUUUAUUUGCGUGAGGAUGCUCAUGGUAUUAUUUAGCUUGUUUUCUUUUGAUUUUUGUUUUAUCUGCUUGUUCUCGGGCUGUGGGGUUGUUUGGACUUUUUAUGUUUUUGUUGCUCUUAAUUUUGUUGGGUUUAUUAUUGUUCUUUCUUUUGAUACUUUGGAUUCUUCCUGUUUUUGUGAGCAUUGUUCGCUCUUGUGAGGUCAUCCUUGUUGUAUUAUGAUAUUAACUUUUCAAAAAAAAAAAAAGAUAAUGCAAUUCAACUUUAGAUAGAAACAUGAUUCGAAUUUUCAUUUCAAGAAAAUACAAGGGGACAGAACUCAAGGAUUAUGUGGAUCACAAAACUUGAAUUACUAGAAUCUAAAUUUCCAUAUGUUAGAUAUCAUUAGAAGCAGUUAGACCAAAAGUUAAUUAUCAAUAUGUUAGUUCACAGGAACUGCAUAAUCAAGCACAUAAACAUCCACAUUGUCAUUCAUUGUAGGCAGCUUUGAUACACAAAAAAUAUGGAUAUUUUCAGAAGUUCAAGCAUACACAAAAAACAUAUCCUUGUCAGAAAAUAGCCAACUAAGAAAGAGAAGUUCAAGAUUUAUAUACAAAGUGCAGCUGCAAAAGGACAAGCAAGAUGCCAGAAUCUAUAUAUUAUGCAGUCGGAUAUUAAUUGGCAAGUACUAACAGCAAAGGUACCAAAAUAAAACUGUAUCAAUUUAUCUUGUCUAAAACUAAACAGUAUAUGUAAAUCUUGCAAACAAACAAGUUUUUUGAAUCAAAACUGUCAAAAGAUUUUGAUUCAAGUGAUAAGUGGAUUGUGAUCUUUUGUGUCACCCAUCCAUUCCUCCUGUUUUAACCAUUUAAAUCAAUAAAUAAUUUUAUGUUCAAACAUAAGUUGGACAACCUUUGUUAAAGAACUGCUUCCCAAAACAAAUAGCAUUAACCACCCUUUUUUAAUUCAACACAUGGGAAUAGAGAUCGAAUCUCUAAUUUUUUGGUCUAAGGUACCUUUCCUAAACUUGUCGAAUUCCAUUUUCUACACCAACUUUAAUUCGACCUCCCACGAAUUCUCUUCUUCUAAGGAUUAACUUUUCUCUAAGGCUCUGCACUCUACUAAAAAGCCUUGAUCUUCUUCCCCCCAAUGUUUUCAUAAACUUCUUAAGACAGACCUUGGCCUUGGUUAGGCUCGGAUCUCCUUGGAUUAUCACCUUCUUCCCCUGAUAUGUAAAUGUUAACAUCAGAUUCUUCCAAUUCACUCCAGUCGUUCCCAAGGAAUACAAUCACUGCAUUCCAAGUAUGGCAACUACCCCUCCCAACUUCAAGGAUAAAAACUCAUUCACUACCUUCUAGUCUCCCAGCAUUAACUCAACAUCUUCACAAAUUACCUUCCCUUUGACUACAGUGCCCGAGCCCAAAAUGACUCCAUAAUUUGACGUUUCUCUUGUACUCAGUUACAACUCUUUCACUAUUUUUUUCUGAAAUGAAAUUGUGCGUGUGACUCCACAAUCAAUUAGUAUUAUAGCCACCUUCCCUUGUAUCAUCUCUUUUACCUUCAUUUUCCCUAGGUUGGAUAAUCCCACCACAUAAUUAAUGGAUAAUUCCACCAUCAUUUGACUCUCCUCUACGAUCUCAGGGGCAUUCAAUUCUUUCUGAUCAAUUCCUCCUUCUUCAAUAAUUUCAUACUCCUCGCCUUCUUCCUUCACAACAAUCAUUCGCAAUUCCCUUUGCUCUUUCAUCUUGCAUUUGUGGUCAUGAGAAUAUUUCUCAUUACAGCGAAAGCACAAUCCCUUCUUUCUAGAUUGAAAUUCAGCAUCAAAUAAGCGCUUCGUCUGUCCCUCUUUCCGUACUUCCUCUUUUGUUGUUCCUCGUAGAGUAAUAGUUCUCAUCGGCCAAUUCAUUCCUCCUUUACUUUCUUCUGUAUUCGCAAUGGUAUUAGCCUUGGUGCUAUUAUGGGAGUUUAUCACCUUUUCUCCAGAAUAUCCAAAAAGAUUUGCUUCCUGACGUAUAUCUUCCUUGUUCUCUACCUUUUGCGCAAUUCGUAUCAUUUGUGCUAAUCCCUUCGACUCACAUAAAUCCAUCUCCGCCUAGAUCCACAGUUUCAAUCCCGACAUAAAUGUCUCUUUUACCACCUUCUCUAAUAGGUCCGACAAAGGAGCUACGCACUUAUCGAAUAAAUUUUGAUAUUCCUCUAUCGUUGUCUUUUGUUGAAUUUGCAAGAACCUUACAUACAACGAUUCCUCCCUAACGGAUCGAAAUCGCACCAAUAAUCUUUCCUUCAUAUUCACCCAAUCUACAAAGUUCUCUCGUUCUUCUUGAGAACGGUAAAAGUUCAAUGCUAGUCCCUCAAAACUAAUAGUGGAUACAGUCAUUUUCUCAAAUUCAGUAAGUUUAUGAAUGUUCAAAUACCUCUCUACGCAAAACAGCCAAGAAUCGGGAUCAUCUCCAUUGAAUAUCGACAUCUCCACCUUCUUAAACUUAUUGCAGUCACUAUUACUUUCAUCAUCUAUUUUCUUUCCUUCCUUCCCUGUUUCGUUCUCCCAUCUUGGUCACCCUUCGCCUUCGUCCACAUUCUUCGUCGAUGAAUUGUGCAUUGUUGUCGAUUCCAUAAUUCGUAACAUCAUCUGAUUCUACCUCUCCAUAUUUUUGGAUAUUUUGGCCAACGUCUUUUCGAUCACCAGUAUCUUACUAAUCUCUUUCUUAAUGUCUUGUAUUUCCUGGUCAAACGUCUCCAUCUCUUCGAUCCGAGUCUGAACCAUUUGCAUUCUUCUUGCCCGAGAUCAAUGCUCUGAUACCAAUUUGAUGGAAACCACUCUUGGAAUGAAAUUGCUACUAUAUUAUUAAUGAUAGAAUAGGAAUGAAAUCCUAAUUACAUUAUGAAAUCCCACUCCUGUUAUCCUCUCUCUCAAGGAAGAAUAGAAAUUCACUUUCUCAAACAAAACCUAACUUUCCCGCCCACGAUUACUUUUUAUUUAUACUAACAAUAAGGUAACUAACCCUCACAUGCUAUUCAUGUGCACGUGAUAUAUUUUUUUAAUUUCUUUGUCCCUCUUCCGCUGUACAGAUGUAAUAUAGGGGGUCUAUCAGAUUCCUCCUCUUUUCAAAGCCUCCAAUCAAACUCAAUGCUAAGUUUGACUGCUCCCUUCAGAGUGACGACCCUCAUUUUCCCCCUUCCGUGGUUUGGGGAGGAUUCCUCCUCUUUUUAAAGCCCUCAAUCAAACUUGAUGCUAUGUUUAGAACGCUAAGAAUAGGUGGUCUAGUUUUGGUUAGGCCAAAAGUGAAAUUUUCCCCCAAAAGCACUAAUAGUUAGGGAACUCAACACAUUCUACUUGACUUAAUCGACUUGACUCUCUAAUUUUUAUGAGCUUUUUUCAAUGCAUAUUGCAUAUGUUUUUUUUAUAGUUGUUGAUUGUCUCACAUUUUUAUGGUUUGCAUUUACAAGCCUCUUUUUUCUUUCUUUGGUAUGAAAUAUGGUAAUAGGCCUUGCUAGAACCGGUGGGGUAAUCUCUCUAUGGUUCUACACUUAGUUUCAAAGUUUGAUUACUCCCUUCGAAGUGACAACAAGCCUCGUUUUCCCCUAUUGUGGAUCAGAGAGGAUUCCUCCUCUUUUCAAAGCCCUCAAUCAAACUCAAUGCUAAGUUUAACUGCUCCAUUCGAAGUGACAACAAGCCUUGUUUUCCCCUAUUGUGGAUCAGAGAGAAUUCCUCCUCUUUUCAAAGCCCUCAAUCAAACUCAAUUAGAGUAAAAAAGGAAAAAUUUUCAUCUCGGGCGCGUGUACCUCACACGCGUCUCUCUAGGAUUUCCAAGUUCUCUCACUCGGGUGGUGAAGGAGGCGAACGGCUGGUGAGUGCUGCGGUCAGCAAGGGAUCAAAUUCGAAGGUAAUUCGUUCGGUUUUGGCAGAUUGAAUGUGAAAACUAAUGUCAUUUGGUAUCCAUUUCGAAAUUGAUUACAAUUGAUCAAUUGAACCAUUACGAAUGAUAUUCGUUUUGAUUCGGGAGAAUUAACGUCUGUCUAGAAAUUGUUUAAAUCGAUUUCCAAGCUGAAUUGAUUUGAACUAUCUUGAAAGUAUUGCGUGUGGUACGAAUCGAUUUAUUGGCUAUCAGUUCUGGGUUUGAAGACCGUGAUUUAAUUCACUCGCUGAAGGGAUCUCGCAUGAAUCUCCUCGGUUGAAUUUCAAUUCUUUUUGAGUUCAUUCGUGUUCCCAGAUUGGGCCGAAAAGAUCAUCACGGGUGUUGGGUUGAUGUCCUAAGCAUGAAACGAUGAAGAAAUUAUCCAGUGACAUUGAGGAGGUGAAGAAACGUGUGAUGUCAAGCCUUCAACGCGUACAUGAUAUGGCGGCGAACGACCGAAGGGCGGCGACUGCAAAGGCUGACCUAAUUUCUGUGAGGAAGAAAUGGUCGGACAUGAGUGGACCCGAACCGGUUUACGUGAACCGUGAAACAUAUAAAAACUGAAAUACAGGAAAUGGACCGAGCGGAGAUGGUCCCAUGAAGAUUGUUGGCCCAAAGGCGUGUGGGCCGAUUGUUUUGAAUGAAAACGUGAUGAAGCCCAGUGAGCCGGUAAAGGGGCUGAAGCCGAAUGGUGUGGACACAUUUACGAAUGGAAUUGGUCAUGGAUUUCUGGUUGAUGGGCCAUCGUUGAAUGAUGGGCCGCCCAUCUCACACGAAACUGGGAUCUCACAGAAGGAGUGCUUACCUGCUGGUGCUUCAAGUGUUCAGCAUGUUGGGCAAAUUGCAACAGCCGAAGGAUAUGGACCUGGGCUGGAUGCUAUUGCAAGUGCCCCAAAGAUUGGGCCGGUUGAUGGGCAUUUGAAUGAUGGGCCAGCCAUUAGAGAAUCGUUUGGUAUUAAUUCAAAUGGUGGGCCGCCUGUUUCGAUUCGUGGGCAUGAGGUGCAGAAAUCUAAUAAUUCUGGAGGUGCAGGCAAAAAUUCAUGGGCUUCCUUAUUUGGCUCAACAAGAGGUUUCUCUAUGACCUAUACACCUCUGACUACCGUGGGAGAGAAAAUUGUGGUGACCCCGUUUGAAGAAGUUAUUAGUCAAGGAGUUAGAGUGUGGGAGAACUCCCUCGUCAGCCAAUUAAUUGAUGCAAAAUUGUGUAUCUAGUCAUCUAUCGUCUUAUAGAGAAGAUUUGGGGUAGAAUUGAAAUGCCAACAAUUACUCUGAUGGAGAAUGGGCUCAUCUGCUUUCAAUUCAAACAUCUGAAGUCGAUAGAGUGGAUCUUAUCCCGUGGCCCAUGGCACCUUGGAGGCAAACCUAUGCUCCUCCGCAAAUGGACUCCAGGUAUAGUUCCUGAAUCCUUUGUCUUUGAUUCAGUUCAUGUUUUGAUAAAGUUAGGGAGGAUUCCGUUGGAGCUAUGGACGGAUGCUGGUUUGGCUGUGGUAGCGAGUGCAAUAGGAAAACCUCUUUCAGUUGAUCUUGCUACUAAAGAGAGGCGUCGUCUUUCUUAUGCCCGUAUAUGUGUGGAAUUGAAUGUGGACAGUAUUAUGCCUGCCGAAGUAACAGUCAACCUUAGAGGAGAGGAAUUUAUUGUAACUGUCACUUAUGAGUGGAAACCGAAAAAAUGUAACUUGUGUCGAUCUUUUGGACACUCGCAGAACACCUGCCCUAAGAAAAGAGGCAAUGAAGAUAGUAAAAAGGAAGCUGCAAGUAAAGAGGUUCCUGUUAAAGAGGUUGUUCCUACUAAAGAGGUGGUUCCAAUUUGUGGGGAGUAUGAAGAUGUUGUGUUGGAAUCCUUCCAACACAUGGAAGAAGGAGAAAUUAUUACCCAUAAACUGCCUGAAAAGGUGGAGGUAAAUUGGGAGGAAUUUACCCCAGUUGACAGGAAAAAUAGGGGAAUGAUCUCUAUUUGGGACAGAGGGAAAAGGGCGGAAGUGAGUAUCACUAACUCCUUUAACAACCUCAUGGAGGUGGAUAAAGGAGAUAAAUGGCCUUUAUCUAUAGUGGAUGCCUCCCCUCCUCCCUUACGAGUAGAUGACUCUUCUAUGGUCCUUUUGAGUACUGCAGGUGAUGUAAUUCCUAUGGGAGAGGCGGCUCCCAUACGACCUCAUGGUUAGUUGGUGUACGUGGAACGUGCGGGGCCUUAAUAGCCCUAUAAAGUGUAGAGCGGUGAAGGACUUCUUAGCUGUGUCUACGGUGGGUUUCUGUUGCAUCCUGGAGACUAGAGUUCGAGAGGAGAACUUUGUCUCGAUAUCUAGAAGAUUUGUGAUUCGUGGGGUUCAUUAGUAACUACAGCGAUAGUGGAGCAGGUCGAAUGUGGAUUAUGUGGAAACGUAACAGUUUUGUGUUCACGACUAACGAGGUUGUCGACCAGUUUAUUUUGGUGUAAUAACAGAUUUGAUCUCUGGGGAGAAGGUAGAGGUUCUGUGUGUGUAUGCCUAUAAUAGUAACAUCGAGAGACGUGUUUUAUGGAGGCAAAUGGCUGAGAUCUCUGCUGGUUGGAGAGGACCGGGUAUGGUCUUGGGUGAUUUUAACACCAUCAGACUCCAGUCUGAAGCAUUCGGGGGUGCUCCGAACGUGGGGAUAUGGAGGAGUUUGACAUGGCUAUUCGAGAGGCGGACCUUGUUGAACGCGGUCCAGGGGAACUGGUUUACUUGGACUAGUAAGAUACAUGGGUCGGGUUUGAUGAAGAGACUUGAUCGUAUCCUAGUGAAUGAUGAGGGGCUUAGUACAUGGCCUAACAUGAGGGUUAACGUCCUCCCGUGGGGUAUUUCUGAUCAUUCUCCAUACUUGUCUAUCCCAGUAAUCAGCGAAGCCAACAAGUGGUCUCUUUUCGUUUCUUUAACCAUUGGGUUCAAGAAGCGUCCUUUAUGGAUGUUGUGUCCUCUGCUUGGACCAAAGAUACUAGAGUUUCUCCAAUUGUGAAUAUUGUGAGGAACUUAAGAAAUCUCAAGUCGAUUCUUCGCAGACAUUUUGGUAGGCAUAUCCGGACCAUCAGUGAGGAUGUUCGUCUUGCCAAUGAUACCAUGGACCGAGCUGAAAGAGAGAUGGAGACGAACUCUCUGUCGGAGGAGGCGAGUAAUCACGCGAGCUUAGCCACGGUAAACUUUUGGAAAGCGGUUAGAGUGGAGGAAGCCGCUAUGCGUCAGAAGUCGCAACAGAUGGUUGAAGCUAGAUGACCAGAAUACUGCCUUUUUUCAUCGAUAUGUUCGAUCAAGGCAGAGCAGCAAUGCUUUGAGAUCAGUUAUUGACCCAGAUGGAAAUCGGUUGACUAACCAUGAUCAGGUGACUCAGGUGGUAGUGAAUUAUUUCAAAGAUAGUCUGGGUUCUCAGAAUAUUAGCUAUGGAGAGCUCUCUACUAGUAUUGAGGAGAUUGUUCAGUUUAGAUGGACUGAGGAGUGUUGUCAGGCCCUCCAGUCGCCUAUUGGCAGGGAAGUGAGACGUGUUCUGUUCUCCAUGGAUGGUGGAAAGGCUCCAGGCCCUGAUGGGUAUUCAGUUGGCUUCUUCAAAGGAGCUUGGACGGUGGUUGGAGAGGGUUUCUGUGAUGUCGUCUUACACUUCUUUGAGACCAAUUACUUCCCUCAAGGGGUGAAUACGACUGCUAUUACACUUAUUCCUAAAAGGAAUGGUGCUGAUCGAUUGGAGGAUUUCAGCCCUAUAUCUUGUUGCAGCGUUAUUUAUAAGUGCAUUUCAAGAAUAUUGGCAGAUAGGCUUCGUGUGUGGCUUCCUUCUUUUGUUAGUGGAAAUCAGCCAGCUUUCAUCCCUGGGAGGAGUAUUAUUGACAAUAUUCUUCUUUGUCAGGAGCUUGUAGGGGCAUACCAUUUGCACAGAGGUAAACCUCGGUGCACUAUGAAGGUUGACCUCCAAAAAGCUUAUGAUUAUGUUAAUUGGGAUUUCCUCUUUGGCCUGCUGAUUGCCAUAGGUACGCCUUUAAGAUUUGUGAGUUGGGUUCGAGCGUGUGUGACCUCUCUGAUGUUCUCCAUUAUGAUUAAUGGAUCGUUGGAAGGUUUUUUCCAUGGGAGGAAAGGACUUAGACAAGGUGACCUUUAUCCCCGUUCUUAUUUGUGAUGGUCAUGGAGGUGCUUUCUCGCAUGUUGAACAGCCUACCUCAGAAUUUUCAAUUCCACUAGUUUUGUGAGAAGGUCAGAUUAACUCAUCUUACUUUUGUAGAUGACCUGAUGAUCUUUUGUACUGCUGAUAAUCAUUCUAUGAGUUUCAUAAAAGAGACUAUUAAGAGGUUUGGUGAGCUUUCGGACUGUUUGCUAAUCUUGCUAAAAGCUCAAUUUUUCUUGUGGGGGUUAAUAGUUCGAAAGCUCUCGGCUUGCUGCUAACAUGGGUUUUUCCAUUGGUCAUCUCCCUGUUCGUUAUCUUGGGCUUCCUCUCCUCUCUAGAAGAUUGCGGAGCUCUGAUUGUGAUCCCCUUAUUCAGCGUAUUACCAGUCGUAUUCGGUCUUGGUCUGCUAGAGUGUUAUCUUUUGCAGGUAGACUUCAGCUUGUUCGCUCAGUCCUUAGGAGCCUUCAGGUUUAUUGGGCUAGUGUGUUCAUGCUUCCUAUGAAAGUCCACAGAGACGUUGAUAAGAUCUUGAGGGCUUAUUUGUGGAGAGGUAAGAGGAGGGAAGAGGUGGUGCUAAAGUUGCCUGGGAUGAGGUUUGUCUUCCUUUUGAUGAAGGAGGUCUUGAUAUUCGUGAUGGAUCUUCUUGGAAUAUAGCAAGCACGUUGAAGAUAUUAUGGUUGCUACUUGUUAAAUCUGGUAGUUUAUGGGUUGCUUGGGUGGAAUCUUAUAUCCUUAAAGGGAGAUCGCUCUGGAGAUCGAUGCUGGGGUGGUCGAUCUUGGUGCUUUAGGGAAAUCUUGCGUAAGCGGGAUAUCCUUAAAGCUCAUGUUAAGAUGGAGGUGGGCAAUGGAAGGAAGUGUAGAGUGUGGUUGGUUCCAUGGAUUCAGGGUGGGCCGAUUAUCCAGCAGUUUGGGAGAGGGUGAUCUAUGAUGCAGGUAGUCGGUGGGAUGCGAGGCUGGUGGAUUUCAUGGGUCGGGAUGGUGAUUGGAGGUGGCCGCUUGUUUCUUUGGAUUUGAUGGACAUUUGGGAUAGGGUUCAGGGAGUGAGGCCGAGUCCGAGUGUUGAGGAUAGGUGGGUCUGGGUGCGGGGAGUCAUGAUAGUUUUUUAUCACUAGUGCGUGGGAGACUAUUCGUCCUCAUAGUAGUAGGGUUGGUGGUCGGGUUUACUAUGGGGUGGGGGAAAUAUUCCUAAGCACUCCUUUUGUGCUUGGUUGGCCAUCAGGGAUAGGUUGGGUACUAGAGAUAGGUUAAGUCGGUGGGAUAGGUCGAUUCCUUUAUCGUUUGCUUUGUGGAGGGAACUAUGAGUCUCGUGAUCAUUUGUUUUUUUCUUGUCAUUUUGGGUGGGAGAUUUGGUCGAGGAUCCUUUUGCUUAUGUCAUCUUCUCAUAGAAUCGGUUAUUGGGGGGUUGGUUAUCUUGGAUUUAUAAUCAGGGUAUUGGGAAGAGUGUGAGGAGAAAACUGUGGCGCCUUCUCUGGUGUGCUACAAUUUAUUUCAUUUGGCAGGAGCGAAAUCAUCGUCUUCAUGGAGGUGCUAUUCGGGAGCCUAUGGUUGUAUUCCAGCUCAUUCGGUCGUGUAUUAAAGCGUGCUGCUUCUUGGUUGGAUGGUGUUCAUGGUCUUAUUUAAUGUUCUUUUCGUUUGCUUGUUCCCGGGUUGGGGUUUCUCUUCUCUUUAUUAACUUUGUUGUCUUUCUCUCUUCUUCUUGUCCUUUUAAUGUUUGGAACACAAGUAUGUUUCUUUUGGUUUUAGUUCUUGUUCCCGAGAUGUGGGGUUGUUUUGGGUACUUAUGGGUUAUUUUGUCUAACUACUUGUUCUGUGAGUGUUGUUCGCUCUUUUGUCUUGACCUCAGGCUGUGAGGUCCACCUUGUUGUUGUAUAAUAUUAUCAUUACCUUUUCAAAAAAAAAAAAUCAAACUCAAUGCUAAGUUUGACUGCUCCCUUCGAAGUGACAACAAGCCUCGUUUUCGCCCUACUGUGGAUCGAGGAGGAUUCCUCCUCUUUUCAAAGCCCUCAAUCAAACUUGACGUUAUGUUUAAAACACUAAAAAUAGAUGGUCUAGUUUUGGUUAGGCCAAAAGCGAUGUUUUCCCCCAAAAGCUCUAAUAGCUAGGGAACUCAACAUGUUCUACUUGACCUAACCGACUUGACUCUAUAUUUUUUAUGAGCUUUUUUUAAUGCAUAUUGCAUAUGUUUUUUUUUAUAAUUGUUGAUUGUCUCACUUUUUUAUGGUCUGCAUUUACGAGCCUCUUUUCUUUCUUUGUUAUGAACUGCGGUAACUAGGCAUUGCUAGAACCGAUGGGGUAACAUUUCUAUGGUUCUACACUUAGUUUCUAAGUGUGAUUGCUCACCUCUAAUUUUCAAAACACUUAAUUUCUAAGCACAUACAAUGUUCACCUAGAAAAAAAUGAAAAUUGUUGUAGUUAAGAUCAAAACUAAAUAGUUAUGAAAUAAGACAUAAGAGAUUUGAUUUUAACAACCUUCCCGUUGUACUUGGGAUCCACUCUGGCUUUGUGCUGGAAAAUUGGUUUGGAGCUGAUCGUAAGCUUUCGGUUGCUCUUCUGUAACCUUUAGAUACUCUUCAAAGCUAUAAGCUUUGCUUCCUGACGAAGAAUCUUCUACUAUUACAAUACAUAAGAAAAUUCUAUUUCAUAAACCCUGUAUCAUAAUUGAGGCUGAUAGAAUGAUUAUUCUAUAACCCUACGAUAGUUUCAUUCUUAACAUUCAUAGACACGAUGCAUGGCAGCUAUCCAAUUCUAUUUCAUGUUCUCUAGAAUGGCUCGGUUUAACAAUAAUGUUAAUUUUUGUUUUCUAUUUUAAAAUAAUAACGCUGCUUACUAAUCUUUUUUUUUUCCAUUUGGCAUUCUACUUUUUCUACUCAGCUUUCUUUUCCUAGUGAUAACAAAUAAUACGGGUGAUAAAAAACUUAAUCACUCACUUGUUUCAGCCACCGAAAGCCCUUCUGCUUUAGAAAUAGAAGAUGGGUUUGAGUAGGUAGAUUUACUUGCAUUGUAUGUGCUGUUCAUUGAACUCUCAAUUUCAUCGAGACCAAUUUCUCACUCAAACAUGGUCUUGCAUUCUCUAGAAACGUCCUACAAACAAAAAUGAAGAACAAAAAACUACAAUAAGGUCUAUGAAAAAGUUACAAAGGAAAAUCUCAAAAACUGAUAUGUAAGUCAUAACAACCUUAAGUCCUCUUACCGUGGGUUAAAAUGCACGUAAGGUUUUUCCAAGAGUCCGAGCAACCAGCAUGUAAAUAAGUUAAGUCAACUAAAUUUGCUAUAAAUUUACUCGUAUUAACAUUAUCAUUGUUAUAGACUUGACAACUUCAAAUUUAUCAAUAUAAAAUAUGCUUUAACAAAACGUACCUUGAGGUUCCUCCAACCUUAUUAAAAAAGCAAAUAAUCCAACAAUUUAACAAAUUUAUAGUGCAUAUUAUGUAUAUCAAUUGAUCACAACAAAAUAAGAUCGAACAAAUACCCAUGAGUAAUAUUUAGCCACCAAAUGAAUAAUGAUGAAAACCUGAAAACAAAACCGAGAAAAAAAAGGAAACAAUUCAUCAACAAAACAAAUUUAGGGGACUAAAAAAUUGCUUACCUUAUUACACACUUCAAAAUAUUAAGAAAAGUGGAGGGAAAAAACCAACCAAUAAUCAACAAAUAAACUUCAACACAAAUAGCCAUAAAUUUUCUUCUUUAAAGGUAUCACAAAUAAGUCCAUCAGUAAUAACAAAAUAAAAAAGGGCAAUGUGCAAUUGAAUUCUGCAGUCGUAAAGCUAUGCUAAAGGCAGUAUGAAAUCAAACUUGAGCACUAACAAGAAAAUUUGCAAAACAAAAAUUAUUAGACAUCAUUAACUAAAGUACCAGCACAACAAUGAAUGUGUAACCUCCGCAAGAGCAAACCCGAAUGGAGAAGAACAUGAAGAAAUAUAUAAAUAGAAGAAACAUAAAAGACAAACAUGAAACACAUGGAAAUAUACAAAGGGGAUAAAUAAAAGUACAAUUAUAAAGUGAUGAAGCACAAAUAUAGGUAUCAACAGAACCAGAAUACAAGUCUUACCCUAUCUCAACUGUCGAGGAGUGUUAACCAACCGUCGGAAGGUUGGUUUUAUUUUUUAGAAAAAAUUAAUGUUGUCUGAAUUCUUUUCCAAGCCACUAACCAGCCCCUCCUUAUCUAUGAUCGGCGAUCAACUCCUCAACCUCUAAUUACAUUUAAAAGAGUGAUGCAAACAUUGUGUGAAAUCCCAAACCUUUGAUGGAUCCCACCAUCACUCUCUUUCUAUCCCAUUCAAAACCUCAUUAUUUUCAAGAGAGGCCUCAAAGCUUCUUCCAAUUAACAUAAAAGAAGAAUGAAAGAGAAUGAGAGAAAGGGAAAGUGGUUCAAAAGCUAUGGAAAAAAAAGUAAAAGAAAAUGGUCUACUCAUUGGCACAUCUUACACAGAUGAUAAUGUUAGGGCAAGGCAAUGAGAGACAGAAUGCUUUUGGAGCCUUCUCCUCUACUUUCGAAGAUUUUAACAAACUAAAAUAUGCAAAUGUUACAAGAAAGAUCUUUGGAGAUUUGAAAUAAUCCAAAAUAAAGAAAAAGGAAAACCCCAAUAUGUACAAAUUUCAGAAUCUAAAACUUGAAAAGUGAUUGAAUGAUGAGAUAUGUUUGUACAAUCAGUUAUAGAGACAGUGAAAUAUUAAAACAAAAAUGAAACGUACCAAGAUAAAAAGAAUAGCAACUAGUAUUAUGACCUUUGUAUGUCUUCAAAAUACAAACAUCAAAAUGAAUCAAGAGAUCUACCACACAAAUAAUGGUAUCAACGCAAAUAAAGCAAUUGUUUUAGUAACAAUAUUUGAGUACAAUUAAACUAAGCAUGCUAUUGUCCUUGACAAAUUUACAUUCUUCUAAUCGAACAAAAUCUGACCUUUAAAUAUGAUAGAUAGAAACUGAAGAUGAAAGCAAGUUUAGCUACAACUUCAGACCGUGAUAUAUAUGACGGAACCUAUAAAAAAAAAGAAGAGUACCUAACUAUAUAUACACAGAGGAGAUCUGAUGCUUACUAGCACAUCAGAGGCUCAAUCGAUUUAUAUUUAAUUGAAAAACAAUCCCUAUAUUUUAAUGCAUACACAUUGAAUAGCCCCUGUUUCAAUCCAAUUUACAAAACUACCUCCAUAAAAUUACAUAAUGGGGGAAGUUCGACCGGAUGCACUGUGCUUUACUAGAACCACAUGAAAUUAUUGGAACAUAGUUCAUUCAAUUAACUUUCUAUUCAAUAAUUGAAACAAAUGGAAAGAGGAUAAUUGAAUAUUAAAUAAAGAUGGAAUUAAUUGGGAACUCACGGAGUAAUGCGAUUUGUUCGGGGUCACCACUGGAGUUGGAAGAGACACAAGGAUUAGAAAGGAAAGGAAGAGGAGCGUCUGAUAAUCCAGCGGAUUCUUUGAUGAGGGGAGUACUAAUAGUAGUAGUGGAGGUUCCAAGGACAUUGAAGUCAAUCCGGUGAGAGUGAGGGAAUUUAGAAGGUUGAGGUUGAAGAGAGUAGAAAUUGCAACCAAAAUCGGUGACGAUGGUGGAAUCGAAAUUGCGAGGGAAGAAGAAAAGAGCAUCACAGAUCGAAGUAAGGAGGAAUCAACACUGGAGAAAGGAGGAAGAUAGGAGAACCUGCCAUUAAUGGAAGAGGGAGGAAGUGAGAGAGAAAGGAGAGGGAAUUAAUUAAUUAAAGAGAAUUAGGGUUUGAGAAGAGAAAGGGAAAAUGGAGUGUACGAACAAAGAAGAAGAAGAAGAAAUGGAAAGGACGCGCUAAGAGAAGAAGAUGGAGAUGGAUCGGCGAAAUGGGUAUGAUAGGGUUUCUUCCUUAAAGAAACGGAAAUUGAGAGAUAGGCCUUAGGGUUUCGAAAAGAGAAAGGAAAAUGGAGUGUACGAAGAAAUGGAAAGGACGCACUAAGAGAGAAGAUGGAGAUUGGAUCCGCGACUAGAGAAGAAGAUGGAGAUGGAUCCGCGAAAUGGGUAUGAUAGGGUUUCUUCCUUACAGAAACGGAAAUUGAGAGAUAGGCCAAAGAAGACAAGAGAGCAAGAGAGAAUGGGGGAGAAGAGGGGGAGAGGGAGACUUGGCCGUUAGAGAAGAGGAGAAAGAAAUUUUAAAUGAGAGAGACUGUACAUGUAGGGUUUUUAUUAGAAUUUUUUUUUUUUUGAAAUCUUGCUUAAUUGGAUUUAGAGAAUUUUGUGUAUUCGGUUCACCGACUCGUAUUAGCUGUCCAUUGGUCCAUUGUUUUGUCCUUUUUUUUUCAACAAACUAAAUGUUUUAAGCCAUUUUGUAGUUUGUGUAAAAAAAUUACCUUAAACUUUUAAAUGUUAAAAAAAAUUGUUUUGAACUUUUAAAAAUUAUUCAUAAAUACAUCUACAUACGUAGGAUGAAGGUAUUGGCAUGCUUCUCUAAAACAACUUUCCAAAAAGAUGUUGUGUGACUUUUGAAAAGAAAAAUUACAAAUGGGGUCGUUUUAAACAAAUUAGAUAUAUCAAGUUAUAUUUCUUUAAUUUUUUCCUUUUUUCACAUAUUAUCAAUCACAUCUUACUUCUUCUUUUUUCUUUGGAACCUGCAAAAAUAACAAAAACAUUUAUAAUCACAUGACUCAUGUCACUACAUUUUCUAAAUUUUAAAAGUAGUAAAUUAUUAAAAGUGAUAACUCUAUGAUUAUCGUUUGAUAGUCAUCUAAUAUCACUAAUUUUGUCAUAUUCGUAAUAUCCAAAUAAGGUUCUUGGUGAGUCUAGAGUCGAACGUGAGGACUUAUACUAAAAAUAUAUUUAUAUUUUGAAAUGAUCUUAAGCUGAUUAAUAACAUACGCCUAAGAACCAUAGCGGUAUCAUCCACUUGUAAGGGGGAGGGGAGUCAUCCACUAUAGAUAAGGUCCACUUGUCUCCCUCACCCAACUUCAUAAGGCUGCCAAAAGAGUUAGGCAUAAUCACAUCCACACGUUUACCCUUCUCUCGAACAUAAACCAACUCUCUUUUCUUCCUAAUAACGAGUAAUUUCAUCCCGAUUACCUACCUCCUUUUCCUUAAUAUGCCUAAUGGGAGCUAUUAGUUUUACUUUCCUCCAAUUAUUUAACGUCUAACACCACAUCCACAAGACACAAUUGUCCGUUCCUCCUCUUUGUUUGAAACCACUUGCUCACAUCCUCCUCUCGAUGAACUUUGUUUUCCACAAUCUUAGAACUUACCACUAGAAUGCCCAAAAGACCAGCACAAAUUAUACCUUCGAGGCUUCCAUUCAUAAUUCACAGUCAUAACGAAAUCCUCUCCCCUAUGGUGAAUUGUAAAUUCAGCAAGCAUAGGAGAGUCCACAUUUGAUUCAACACAUACUCAAGCAUGUGACAACCUUCAUCUUUCCUUAGUAGCUAGAUCUAAAGAUAGAGGUUUGCCUAUAGCACUAGCCACAACAGUCAAUCUGACAUCUGUCCAUAACUCCAUUGGAAACGUACCUAGUUUAAUCCAUAUAGGAACAUAAUAAAAAACAAAGGAUUUAGGGACAAUACCUGGAGUCCAUUUACGGAGGAGCAUACUUUUGCCAGCAAGAUGUCGUGAUCAACGAGAUAGGAUCCAUUCAACAAGUUUUGGGCAUCUGAAUUGGAAACAGAUGAGUCCGUUCUCAAGAAUUGUAAUCGUUGGCAUUUUAAUUUUAUCAACAAUAACAACGAGCUAAACAAAAUCCUCUAUCCAGGACGCACUAAUGAAAACUAAAAUGUAAAAUAAGUACGAAGUAAUUAAUUAAAACAAAAUACAAAAGAAACCCACAGUAAGUUGACAAAAUGCCCACAAUAAGCUUCAAGAUGAGUGAGAGGGAACACCAAGAGAAACAUGAAUAGCCUUGCUAACUUUUCACUACUAGCCAACUACAUAUUUUUUUACAAUACGUGUUAGGGAAAUCUUUCCCUUUGCAAAACAGACCAAUAUAUAAUCAAUCAUUGGCUCCUUAUGGGAAAAUACAGAAGCCCUAUACAUGUAUGUUUCAAGCCUGUGUUGAACAACUUUUAAUUCCCUAAGAUAAGGAGAUUUAUCUGAAGGUUCGAGAAUAAUGACAUGUCCUAAACUAACCCACCAUUUCGCAACAGUGAACCAGUUUGAUCGUUAGGGGACAACUUUUGAUAAUAAGUGCACAACCAUGCCCCAAUUCCAAUGUUGCCCAAAAGUAAAGGCCUUUCUUCACAAGGCUCCAUAAAAAAAAAGUUCGACUUUCACAUAAAGAUCUUAUUUCUUUUUUAUUGCUCCAAGAGAUCUAAUAGAUCUAUUUUCACCACGCAAAUCCCUUUUGUUAUCAUGGGAAAUGUGUUGGUUGUGCUCAAACCAAAUCUCUGCUAGCAACACUUUUAUCAAAUUAACCCAUAUUGUUUUUUUUUAAAAAAAAGGAUAUGAGUCUCACUAUUAUUAAUAUUGAAAAAGAAGAGACAAAGUUCAAUGUCAUGAGGAUUAUACAAAGAGCAAUAGGAUGGAGGAUCAACAGACGCACCUGGACAUCUCAACUAGGUUGACACCCCUUAGCGCCCUCAUCACAUCCAAAAAGCGACAACACAAGAUCAAAACCAAAAGCCACAAAUAGAAGGCUUUUUUUGUGUUUGUUUUGCCUUUGGACAUUACUCCUUUGUUAUGGGUUUUAGCUUGGUUGGAUAUGAUGAGGGUGCUAUGGGGUGUCAACCUAGUUGAGAUGCCAAGGUGCACCCCCUGAUCCAUGGUUACAUGUUCCUUGUAUAACUCUCUUGUACUAUGAGCUUUUGUCUAAUUAUUAUUAUUAUUUUAAUAUUAAUAAAGAGGUUGUCUCCUUUUCAAAAAAAAAAAAACAAAACAAAACAAAACAAAAGCCACAAAUAUAAAACCAAACAAAAUGAUAAAAUAAUAUGUCCAAAACAAAUCAUAAAUCAUAGGUAGCAGGUCGAGAACAAAGAAGAAUAAGCCUUGAUUGAGCAAAAAAUCCCAACAAAUAUUGAAUGUUUGGAGAAGACGGAACCAACAUUUCGAUACAAAGACAUAGUCAAUUAAAAGGUGCUAAAUAUUUUUCAUGUUAUCAACACAAAUGGGGCAGACAUGAGGUGAGAGGACAUGGGAGGGAAGUUUUCUUUGAAGUACUAAAGCACAGUUUAAUUUUCCAAACAACGUAAUCCAUAUGGGGAUAUUUAUCCAAAGAGUGAGCUAAAUAGCCCAAUGAGUGAUUGUUUUAUAAAACAUCGUUUUGAAAUAACAAGUAUUUAACAAUUAACUCUUAACAUAAAUGAAAUCAAACUCAAACAACUUAUCUCAAACUUUCCCUCUCAGUUGCUAUACCUAGAAUCGUCGAGACGAAAAACAAUAAACUAGGCAUAGAAGCCCUAUCCCGUGAUACGAUACUUACGAGAUGAAACUCUAGGCAUCAAUUGUGCCCUAUCUCGUUAUAACUACAAUGAGAUGGAAAACUAGGCAUUCGUACAGGCUCUCGUCCCUUGAGAUGGGAAACUAAGCAUCUUUAGAAGUCUUCAUCUCUUAUCUAAUACCAAUGAUGGAAAGCUAGGUAUUUACUGAAUAUCCAAAUCAAAUGACCUCUAUGCACAAGAAAAUCUCUCCCGAAGGGUUGCUAUAUAUCUUAGAAUAUUUUAGGUAUAGACUAAAACAUGCUAAUAUUAUUUUCAAGCUUAAACAUUUUGAAAACUUAGCACAAUCAUGAUUGCUUAUAAUUUUCAUUAGUAAAUUCAUCAAUAAAAACAUGUUUACCAAAAUGUUUCUAAAUUCAUGCUUUGGAAAUACAUUAUAAGUCAGUAUCCUCAAAUAUUCAAACAUCAAAGCAUGCUUGAAACAUUUGAUAGUAAAUUCAUGUUUAGAAAUCAACUUUAAACUCAUUUUUGUCACUUAUCGAGAGUAGCUUGGACCCUUGGCUUAUAAACUUGUUCUAUCUCCUUCAGAUCUAAAAUAUCAAAACUUUGCUUAAAAUUUCCAAAAACCACAAAAACAGCCCAAAGACAUUAGCUUGCGUACAAAAUAUUUGGCAGAAGUUGGCAGGCGCGCGUAGGGCUUGCCUUGCCAUGUCUCAUUCUAACCUCAUGUGCAGCGUGUCACAAUCACAACUUUUCAAACACGGAACAGACAAUUGUGCGGCACUUGUUGUAACUCGAUGAACACGUCAGUUGUAUGAAAUUCGAUACGAUGUAGCCUCCCUACAGGUUUUAAGAGAAAUUGGUUUUAUUAAACAUGAGAGAGAAAGGAAAGCAUUGGAAACAUCGUUAAAAAAAACUUUGAAGAUUGUCCAUUGCAAAGAGAGCUUAAAUUGCAAAGAGUACCUCUGUGAUGAGAUUGGUUUGUGGAACCAAUUGGGAUGGGAAAAAGUUUAGAGAUAUUUGAGAGAAACUCUUUUCUUUUUGCAAAGAGCAAUAGCGUUAGCCUUAUUUUUUUCUUUUUUUAUUAAUUCAUUUUUUUAAGAAAAUUGUUUUCUUCUAGAUAUUAUAACUCUCUUUCCUUCUAGGAAUAGAAAAUGAAGUAGAAGAGAACCAUGAGAUUCUAUUAAUUUACAAAUAAUUAAAUUAAUAUAUAUAUUUCAAAUCUACUGAUUAAUUAAACAUUAAUCAAUUAGUUAAUAAUUAAUGAAAUCGAAUUUAAUUAAAUAAUAUUAAACUAAACUAUUAAUUAAUUCUCCAAUUAACUAAUAACACUAAAUUAUUUAUCUUAUAUUUAACUUAAAUUAAAUUUGAAUCAUAUUCAAAUAUAAGUUUCUCUCAAUAAUUUUAAUAUGAAUCCAAUUCACAUUAAAUUAAUAUUUGAACUCAUUCAAAUAUUUUAUCUCUCAUAAAUUAAUUUUGAAUCAUCCCCAAAGUUAAAUUUAUAUAGUAAAGUUUGAUAAACUUUAUAUUAUAAUGUAUCACUAUACAUUAUACUAAUUCCCAAGUUAAAUUUAAACAUUUUAAAUUACAACCAAUAUAAAUAAAUCUCAUUACCCUUUACGAGCUAGGAAAGGGACCUAAUGGAUCUACAGAUCAAAAGCUACAACGAUCUAAGAUUAAUUGGCUAAACUCAUUAACCACAUUAAUCAAUAUUCGUUAGCUGUGUGUACACUCCAUUAAAGACUCACAACUGAACUCUUCUCACUAAAAAUAUAUGUCUGUGUCCACGGAUAUAGACCAAUAAUAGUAAGUUAGUCCUUCACGAGUGUUUGUAACACCAGUUGGAUCAAUUUACCGCUUUACCCCUAUGUUACCUCUAAUCCUUAAAAACCAGUGCUCCUCUAAUGAACAACUUGUUUAUGGUCCUACUAAUAAACAAAAACCCCUCUCAUGUCAUAGAGAGGGUACGAACCCUUUGUCCAAGUUUUGGAGCCACCAUUUAAGCUAACAUUCAUCUACUUACCCUAAAGUAGGAAAUGAGUGAAUUCUAUUUUGUUUAAUUAUAAUCCCAACUCCCCACUCAGUCUUGUCCCCAAAAUCACUACUACAAAAAUAGGCUCUCUUGACGGUUGUAGUUUUCCUUUCUUGACGUUUUUAAAUAAAAAAACGUCAAGAAUUUUUAUGAAAGGCCAAUUUUCAACUUUCUUGACGUUUAUUAAACGUCAAGUAAGAUGUAUUUUUUCUUGACGUUUAAAAAACGUCAGGAAUGUUUAUGAAUUCAACAUUCUUGACGUUUUUUAAACGUCAAUAAUAUAUAGUUUUCCUCGACGUUUUAAAAACGUCAAGAAAUUUAUAAAAAAUUCUUAACGUUUUUAAAAUGUGAGAUAAUUCUAAAAAGUUCUUGACAUUUUUAAAAACGUCAAGAAAUUUAUAAAAAAUUCUUGACGUUUUUAAAACGUCAAGAUAAUUCUAAAAAAUCAUUGAUGUUUUUAAAAACUUCAAGAAAUUUUAAUUUUUUUUAGUUUUAAAAACGUCAAGAAAUUUCUAAAAAAUUAUUGUGUUAAUAUUCUUUUACAAAACGCAACGUUUCAAUUAGAUCACUUCCCCUUUUCUUAAUUAAACCUAAUUCGCCGCGACUUUGUCCCUUCUCCCGAAAUCAAAAGCGUCGUUCACCUAACCUUCCCUUCGCGUUCAUCUGUGCAUUCAUCUGCGUUCAUCGCCGAAAAAGACUUCCCUUCGCGUUCAUCAGCGUUCACCUUCAUUCAUUUGCUUCAUCGUCCGUCACCGUUCGUCUGCUUUGCGUUCCCUUCACCUUCGUUGAUUUGCGUCUGUUCACCGUUCGAAAUGUGUAAACACAUUCUCUGUUUCGAAAACGAGUAAACACGUUCACCGUCCUUCUGUCGCAUUCCACUUUCGCUAAACCUCUAUUCGUUUCCAAAUCCUUCAUGGUUACUCAUUCAUUUUCUUCCCUUUCUAAAGGUAAUAAUUUUCCUUUUUUCCUUUGUGAUUAAAAUUUGUAAUUUGUAUUUAAAAUUGGAAUGCAAAAUUAAAGAAGAGGAAAUAUGCCUUAGAGAAUGGAAGAAAGGUUUUGCAUUUUAGGCUUGAAAAGGGGGGAUACAAGUUAUUAUAAUUGUAAUAUAUAAUAUUUUGAACAAGGCUACCAAGCGUGCGAAUAUGAUUCAUUGGUUAGUUUAGGGAUUGGAAAGAGAAGGAUUGUGGAGUUUGUGAUAAUAUUUUGGUACACUGGAGCUGGAAACAGAGAAUAUUAAAAAACACAUACUGUUAUACACAUAUUAUAAUAAUACGAAUCACUAGCUUUUCUUCUUCGUUUUCUUUUUCUUCUCCUUGAAUUUUUGUUAUGGGUAUUGUAUUGAGUUUUGUGUUUUAGAUUGUGAAGUAUGGGGUAGCUAAACUCUUAAUCCUAGGGAUAGAUGUAGACAAAGUUUAUGAAUUAUUCUUUGUAAUGCAUCUGAUUAUUUGCUCAUCUUUUCAUGUUUUUAUGUGAAUAACGUUCAUAAUAUCUUAAUCACAGAUUAAUUGUUGAUUGGCCAUGAACCUUAAUCUUUGCAUGACUAGAGUGGUUAUGAACUUGGAAAGAGAUAAUUAAGGAUCCUUGAGGAGGUUGUUGAAAGAAGUGGACCUAAAAACUUUUGUUUGUUAAUAAAAAGAAAAAUGAACAGAGAUUCAUCUUCGUCAGGGGUCUUGAUGUUUAAUUUAAUUUAAAUUGUGUAUGAAUUUUUAAUUACGAGAAUUUUAAUAUGUUGCAAGAGCACUAUAGCCAAGGUAUAGAGUGAGGGAGAUAAGGUUUAUAUGUCUUAGAGAAUGGAAAGAUGGAAUUUGUGCUAAAAUCAUUAGUGUUCCAAAUACAAUUAUGAAUUGGGUAUAGUUGCAUUCCCCCUUCUGGAUUGCAUAGCACAUAAAUAUACUCUCAUGGAUUGCAUAGCACAUAAAUAUACUGUCAAAAACAAUAACAUAAAACACAAACUUGAUUUAGUUUCAUUCACACUUGUACACCAACAUGUUUCAAGUAAUGAUCAUAUAUUAAAAAUCAUUUUCAAAUUUGGUAAUAUAAAAUGGAAGAAGUGAGACCUUGAGGUUUUGACCACCAAUACUAUCUAACUGAUGAGUUUAUGAUUUUUGUUUCUAUUGUGUUCUUUCCUUAAGCUUUAACUUGUUUUAGGGGCAAGAUGGUGAAGGUCUAGUCCACAACCUUUCCCAAGAAUUUAAUGAUGUUUGGGUUGAC
rnacentral:lncRNA from 1 species